AGGUGGUUCCUCAUGCAUCAACUAUACCCAUUCUCCAAUUAAUUAGCUUUAUUACUUUAAUAUUCGCCCACCUACAAAAAUAAUCUCUGCUUAAAUUUUUCAUUCUAGCCACUAACCUAACCAGGAUGUUAUUAUUCUUAAUUUUUAUGCAGACUGUGUCGUUGCAUGGGAGAUGCAACGUUUUCAAGGGUGAAAGCACUGAUUCAUCUGAAUUGCUAUUUUCUGUGAAGAAAAUCAAGAAAUCACCUGGAAUUACUAAAUUAAACGUGUUCCUCGCAAACAACCAAGACAAAAAAAAAAGUGACUUUAGAAUGAUCAUUUUUGGAAGUAAAAGGUCGUGCACUGUUUAUGCCGGUGAAUCUCCUAACAUCGUAGCCAAAGUAUGAGUACUGAGUUAGUAUAUCUUUCUUAUUUAUAUUAAUAUUUCUUUGUUUUUUUUUUAUCAGCCAAAAAAUAAUUAAAUUAAAUUUGAGACAACCCUUAUACUAUAACAACGCUCUUCCCUCAUGCUUCCUACAUAAAACCAAAAUUAAUAAACUAGGAUGAUACAGAAGAUAACGCAUAACAAAGGGUUUGUUUCCCUAAUCCUAGAUAGGCAUGGGCUUGAAAACUGAGAAUACCUCGCAAAAAACCAACAAAACUGCGCCUUCAAAUUAGGCACACAAACUGCUCUUGCAAAACUUGUGAUAGCAUAACUAACCUGCACCUACUAAAAGGGUGCAUCACACCACACAACACCGCAACAUCCCCUUAGAAUUAGGUUCCUGGCCAAGAUUUACUCCUCCUUCUUCACUCAACACGUCCCUGCCUAUAGUUGUAGCCCUGUACACGCUGACCUGGCAAAAGUGGUUGUAGAUAUCGAGUCUACUUUUUAUUCAGUCAACCGUAAUGGGCAGGGCCAAGAUGGAAUGUUGGAGGCCCAAUUUGGCGUUGGGAGGGACCCCAUAGUUGCUCAUGACUAUGAUGAUGGGCCAAGGCCCGAUAUGGAGAUCUGCGUGAGAGAGGAAGAAAGUGAUGCCCAGAUGUGUGGGGAACAGGGGACACAAACAGAACCGAACGAAGUUUCUGAUGACUACGAAGACGGGCCAAGAACCGAUAUGGAGAUAUGCGCGAGAGAGAAAGAAAGUGAAUCCCAGGUGUAUGGGGAACAGGGGGCACGAACAGAACCGAACGAACGCGAAGGAGAUGAUGUCGAAAAAUGCCAUACGCACACCGAAGAGCCUAGGGGAGGAAGCGCACAAGCAGUGAAUGGUGCGGCGAGUGAGAAGGAGGAUGAAUACGGGAUUAUGUAAGAAGAUGAACUUUUUAGAUACGAGGAAGGUGAUAACUCUGGAAAAGGGAACCAAUCAGGGGAUUUUACGGCGCGAAUCACAGGCCCGAGUAAAUCCCCAAUUCGUCAACGCAAGGAGAAGGGGCUUACCGAACUGGGGGACUCAGCAUCAAUCCAAAGGAGGCGGUCUGCAAGACUAAGUGAGAAACAAGCCCUGGUAGGCCCUGGUAAACAUCACCAAGAAGGUAAGAUUUCUGCCUCAAUCUCGGAUGGUGACAUAAAUAAUUGCAAUUACCGUCUUUGUGAACAAGUCCAUGGGGCGGAACCAGUACAAUUGUGGGAGGUGGGAAAACUAACAGGGCUUGUUUGCCAUGGGGAUGAAGAGGAAGUUGUCCAAGAAUACGUGGGUUUGGAAGAGAGGGAUACUAAGGAGGUGAAACAUGCUAAGGAGGGGGAUAGGGAAGUUCUGCUAUGAUAAUUAUAAAUCUGAACAUUAGAGGAAUGGGGGGUGGUACCAAGGCUAGGUAUUUGAAUCAUCUCAUAUCUAGGGAGGGAGCAGAAUUUGUUUGUUUACAAGAAACUAAAGCAAUGCAGUGUUCGGAUGCCAAAUGUUACUCGCUUUGGGGGGAUAACAAAGUUGGAUGGUUACACUACAAAGGGGACAACGGGGGAGGAAGUUUGCUCUCGAUGUGGCACAAAGAUGUUUUCAUCUAUGAUAGUCAUGUGAUGGGGAAGGGGUUUAUAUUCGUCUUUGGACUGCACGUUAAAGCUAAUUGUAGGUGUGGGGUGGUAAAUGUCUAUGCCCCAUGCUCAUUGAGGGAGAAGAAGGUGUUGUGGGGGGAACUGACACGCAUCAAACUGGCUUAUCAAGAUUUGAUUUGGUGUUUUUUUGGCGAUUUCAAUGCUGUUAGAAUCCUAAGCGAAAGGAAAGGAACAAGGGAAAGGGAGUCUCAAUCAAGCGAAAUAAGAGAUUUCAACCGGUUUAUUGACACCAACCUGCUAAUUGAGUUACCUUAUGUCGGGAAGAACUUCACAUGGUUCAAUUCCAAUGGGAUGGCCAAGAGUAGGCUUGACAGAGUAUUGGUAUCCGAAGAUUGGAUGCAUAUUUGGCCAAGCUGCAAACAGUAUGUGCAACGCAGGGAAGUCUCUGAUCAUUGUGCCUUAGUAGUAAAAUCCGUGGAUAAGGAUUGGGGCCCUAAACCCUUUAAAACAAUUGACGCUUGGUUGUCUGAGAAAGGAUUUAUGAAGAUGGUGAAGGACAGAUGGUCGGCUUAUCCAGCACAAGGGAAUAGCUUCAUGAAGGUUAAAGAUAAACUGAAAUGGUUGAAGGGGGACUUAAAAGUGUGGAACAGGGACACUUUUGGCAAUAUGGAGACGAAAAAGAAGAGGAUUCUACAAGAGAUUGAGGAUUUGGAUUGCCAAGACUGUAAUGGCAACUUUGUGGAAAGUGAGAGACUGAGAAGGAUCGACUUAGUGGGUCAUCUGAAGGAGAUUGAUAAUAAGCUAGACUCUCUUUUACGUCAGAAGUCUAGAGUGAGGUGGUUCAAGAACGGGGACUCAUGUACAAAAUUCUUCUACUCAACUCUGAGGUGAAGGAGAAAAAGGAAUGAAGUGAAGGGUGCUGAGGUUGGGGGCCUGUGGUGUGAGGAGCCUAGCACAGUACGAACGGAAGCAAGAAGGUUGUUUGAUAAUAGGUUCAAAGCAACAAAAGACUUACGGGUUAGACUUGAUGCAGUUGAGUUCAAGUACCUAUCUAUGUCAGAUAAUCUGAGCCUGGUAGAGGGAUUCACUGAGAAGGAAGUGAGGGAGGCGGUGUGGCAAUGUGAAGGCUCAAAAAGCCCAGGACCUGACGGGUUUAACUUCAACUUCUUAAAGAAGGGAUGGGAGUUCGUGAAGGGUGACUUCAUGGAAGUCAUGAACUUAUUUCAUGAAACAGGGCGUAUACCGAAGGGGUGCAAUGCGUCCUUCAUUGCACUUAUCCCUAAAGUAAAGAAUCAUGUUCUUCUUUAUCAGUACAGACCAAUCUCCCUUGUAGGGGCUAUGUACAAAAUUAUAUCCAAGGUGUUGGCUGAAAGGAUCAAGAAAGUUUUGCCUACGGUUAUUGAUGAUUGUCAGUCGGCCUUCCUGAAGAACAGAGGGAUUUUAGAUAGCGUGUUAAUGGCUAACGAAGUGAUUGAGGACAUCAGAAGAUGUGGGAAAAGUGGGCUAUGCUUAAAGGUGGAUUUCGAAAAAGCCUACGACUCGGUUAGAUGGGAGUUCCUCUAUGAUAUGCUGAAUAAGAUGAGGUUUCAUAGAAAGUGGAUCAGGUGGAUUCAAGGUUGUCUAGAAAGCGCCUCUAUCUCAGUAUUAGUGAAUGGGAGCCCGACAGAAGAAUUCCAACCUAAGAGAGGGUUGAGACAGGGAGACCCACUAGCUCCCUUUCUUUUUCUGAUUGUUGCGGAAGGAUUGGCUGGGUUGGUAAGGCAAGCAGUGAAGGCAAAUCUACUAUCCGGUCUUAGGAUUGGUAGACAAGAGGUCGAGUUAAGCAUUUUACAAUUUGCUGACGACACUUUGUUUAUGUGCAAGGACUCCUUUAGUAAUGUGGUGACUUUAAAGGCUAUUCUCAGAGGGUUUGAGAUAGCCUCUGGUCUUAAGAUUAAUUUCCAUAAAUCCAAGCUUGCAGGCAUUAAUGUGCCAAGGAACAAUAUCAUAUGUUACAUGAAGACUUUGAACUGCGAUCAGAUGACAGUGCCUUUCAAGUAUCUUGGAAUCGAGGUGGGAGGCAACCCAAGGAGGAAGAAAUUUUGGGAGCCAGUCAUUGACAAGUUAGAAGCUCGGCUUAGCACGUGGAAAGGGAGAUUCUUAUCAAUGUCAGGCCGAAUUUGUGUCAUCAAAUCUGUUCUUAAUGCCGUACCCCUAUACUACUUAUCCUUGUUUAGAGCUCCGGUCUCAGUCUGCAAGAACAUUAUUAGUAUCCAAAGGAGAUUUCUGUGGGGUUGGGGGAAGGAAAAAAGGCCGAUAUCAUGGGUAAGUUGGAAAAACGUGUGUAAACCAAAAGAGGAGGGAGGACUGGGUAUCAUAGACAUACGUGACUUCAACUAUGCUUUGUUAGCCAAAUGGAGAUGGCGUUGGCUAUCGGAUGAGAAAGGAAGAUGGAAGGACAUUUUGGAGUCGAAAUAUGAUGGAGGAGGCGAGGUUAUGCAAUCCUCUCUUAAAUCACAGUCAUGGUGGUGGAGGGAUCUUCAUAAAGUAUGCACAGAAGGAAUAGGAGACGGAUGGUUCCAAGCCGAAAUGGGAUGGAUCCUAGGAUCCGGUGAAAAAGUAAAUUUUUGGGAGGACGUGUGGGUUGGAAAUUCCAACCUCAAAUCUUUAUUCCCCAGGCUGUAUUCUAUAUCUUGUAAUCAGGGCCAGACAGUGAAAGAAGUAGGUGAGUGGGAAGGGUCAGAAUGGCGAUGGAAUUUAAGGUGGAGGCGUGCCAGAUUCGAGUGGGAAUCAGUGUUGGAAACGGACCUAAUAAUACACAUAUCUAGGGCGAAUGUUAAAAGGCAGGAGCAAGACAUUCGGGUGUGGGGGAUCAAUGAAAAGGGGUGUUUUUCUGUAAAAACAGCAUAUGCAAGCCUAACUAAGAGAGGUGAUGGCACCCAUAAUGAAGUCUUUAAACUAUUGUGGAAGGCCAAGGCUUUUCCCGCUGUCACGAUCACUGCAUGGAGGGCCUUGUUGGACAGAUUACCAACUAGAGAGUCUUUGGAGAGGAGGGGAGUGACGAUGGAAUCAACGCUGUGCGUUUUAUGCCAAACUAAAGCUGAAUCUUGUCACCAUUUGUUUCUAGAGUGUGAUGUGGCUGUGCGUGUGUGGGAAUUAUGCUAUAGAUGGAUUGGUAUUUUAUCCGUACAACAUAAUGCCUUAAAAAAUCACUUUGAAAGCUUUANNNNNNNNNNNNNNNNNNNNNNNNNNNNNNNNNNNNNNNNNNNNNNNNNNNNNNNNNNNNNNNNNNNNNNNNNNNNNNNNNNNNNNNNNNNNNNNNNNNNCGAAGUAUUUGGGAGCAUAGGAACUUCAUUGUGUUCAAACAAGGGGUUGCAGAUGCAGAAGAGAUGUUUCAACAAGCUCAGCUUAAAUCUUGGUUAUGGAUGAAGAACAAGGCACACAAGUUCAACUACUCUUUUGUGGAUUGGGUUUUAAACCCAAUGCUUUGUAUCAAGAGUUAUAAGUGAAGAUAUAUGGUAUAGGAAUGUUAGGAGGUCCUGACGAUGAUCUUGUGCACAGAAGGAUGUACAGAGCUACAAAGGGUACACUUUUGUUGUUUAUAGUUUGGUUGGUACUCUCGGCCCAAUCGGUGUUUUGUUCAAAACUGCAGUUAUGAGCUAUAGGUGGAAUGGAGGAGUAUUAGAUGCUGGACGUGGUUAUGGACAUGGCUUUGGACACUCGUUGCGCUCUCUGGGGUGAAUGGUGCAAUGGACUGGAGUGAUAGUAUGGGUAGCUGAUGCUGCUAGAUGGGGUAGGGAUGGCCUGGAACGGUAUGCAGUAAAUGCUACAUUAGGUGGGUGGGGCGGAAUGGUGAUGCUGUAAGGUUGGUUUGCUGAAGCAAGGUCUUGGACCGAAUGGGUGAAAAGGCUUUGAUGGUGUCACAGCUUUUGGGUGCAGUAAGGGGCAUCACGAAGUAGGAACGCUUUGGUUGCCUUUUCACAUGUGUUAUGGCAGGUCUUUGUAAUCAUAGCAGCAACACUCAAUUCUCAGGGUGCAACACGGACACUGUGCUGAACGUGGAGGUAGAAUCUGUUAGCAAAAUGUGGUAAAAAGUGAAUGGGUCCAUGAUGCUUUUCUGGUCUAAGAAACUGAAAGUGCCUAUGGCUUUCGGUGGGAGACUUGCAUCCAACUCUGAAGCAAUUAUGCAGUGGUCAUUUUCUUAGUUUUUCCAAGUGGAUCACGCCUGAGGUGGGGCAGGGGUUUUUCUUAUAGCUAAGUUGUGUACUCACUGCUGUAGUAUAUUCUGUCAUAUAUAGUUGUAUGCUUAAGCUUUGAACACUUUUUGUAUACGGGUUGGGACACCCCUGAAGUGUCCCGUUCUAUUUCAUUAAUUCAUUGCUGAUAAAAAAAAAACAAAUAUAACCAGAGUAACCACCCUUCAUCCAACUUCCAUGUAUCAGAUUAUUUGGUGCCAUCUGAUUACAGCACCUUCAACUGCACCUUACAGAGCUCCCUUCACAAAACUUAUCCACAGCACAUGAUUUGAACCAUACAAACCUUGUGCCACCUUGCAUGUCAAGACCAGAAAAGUGGCUUCUAUUUAGGGUCAACUUCAGCUGACAAAAGGCUUCCCGAAUUCCGCCAAGACCAGAGUCAUACAAGCAGCUUGGUUGCCACUUAGUAAAAGAGCUUCCUACGCUUGGUUAAGGCAUUUGAACAUUUUUCCAAUGGAGCACGGCUCCAGAUCCACAUCUUCGUAGAUGAGGUUCCUCCCUAGGAAAGCAAGGUGGUCUAGUUCCACCCAAAGCCAGUAAAGUCCAACUGUAGCAGACCUGCAGCAAGACACCCUUAAGCAGCACCAGACAACACCUAGAAAACAAAAAGCAUACAGCUCCUAGACACAAUUCAACAACAACUUUGAAGUCUCUUAGACUUCUGAACCUUGUCCACACCAGCUUGAACUUGUGCAAGAAUCCCUCGUGAUUCGCUUAAGCUUCAUUACAAUCUUCUUAGAACCUGUACUUAAUUCUACUUUCACUCAGCAAACCUUCAGAUCCCUUAAUAUGGCAAGACAAAUCCUAAAAUCUAAAACAGACCAUCAGGAUCAAAUUUUCCAACAUCUCUCAAGCUGGCCAAAAAGCCCAAAUCCAUAUGCUUCUCUUGAUAGCCCCAUACUAGUAGCCAUUACACUUUUUGAAUUUUUACAUUCAAUUGUGUAGCUUUGCAUACUAGAUUCAUAGUUACUGUCCCACCAACACCUCCAUCUGUGUCAUGGCCCUAUACUUUCACAUUUCAUAUGACAGCAACACCCUCUUGGUCCUUAAUUCCUUGCCCAAUAAUCCAGCACAUUAGAAUACCUGCAGAAAAAUGCGAGUAGAUGUUUUAUAGUCCCUUUCACACCAAACUCCAUUCUAAAUGCACAGGGCCAUGACACGGGUUGGUGUUGCUCCAACUAUAGGGUGGACCUCUCAAAACCCACCAGUGCCUAGCCCCCAAACUCCAACAGUCCUCUAAAGUGAGCUUUAUAUUGGGGGGAAUACUACAACAGUUUGCACUCCCAUCCUGACACAGCCCCCACUUAUUCCUCCAACCAAUUAGAGCUGAUCACUAAACCCUAUGUCCAGGCCUUUAGACCAGAUAUGCCAACAAACCUUCCGUUUCUCUAGGGACCACUAGAUACAUCACUUAACCCCACUUACUUAUAGCUUCCAAUGCAGAUAAGUGGGUUCAAGACCCAAUCCACAAAAGAAUAGUUGAAUGUGUGUACCCUAUCCUUUAGUCAUAGUCACGACUUGAGUUGGACCGUUUGGAAUAUCUCUUCCGCAUCAACUAUCCCUUGCUUAAAAAUUAUAGAGUUCCUGUGCUCCCAGAUACACCUCACUAUAGCUGCCAAAACACCUUUCCACAAUAGGUUUUGUGUACUACUGGCCUGAGAUAAGUAGAAAUUCUCAAAGUGAGUCAUAAGAUCAUUGUGUUGGACAAACAAGAUACCAAUCCAUUUAAAGCACAACAACCAAACAGCCUGGGCAACUUUGCAUUCUAGGAAUAGGUGUUGGCAUGAUUCAUCCUUAGUCUGACACAACGCACAUAAACUUGUGUCCAACGUCACCCCUCUCCUACUCAAACUCUUUCUUGUUGGGAUUCUUCCCAAGAGUACCCUCCAUGUUGUGGUUAUCACAUUGAGGAAUGCUUUAGCCUUCCACAGGUACUUGAACACAUCAUGAUGAGGACCUAUUACAUGCUUAGCUAGACAUUCAUAUCUGAAUUCACAAAGAACACCCUUGAUUCAUCACACCUCCACUUCUGUAUAUCUUUAUCUUCUGUAGACAUGUUAGCCCGAGAAAUGUGCAUAACAAGAUUUGCUUCCAUGACGGCUUCCCACUCGAAUCUGACUCGCCUCCAUCUUAGAUUCAACUUCCAUACUGAUUCUUUCCACAUUCCAACCUCUUCCACCUUUUGGACCUGAUUUAGAGACAGGAAGUACAACCUGGGAAACAAAGUUUUGAGGUUAGUAUUACCAACCCACACAUCCUCCCAAAAUCUAACUUUGUCUCCACCUCCUAUUUUUCAUACUAAUUCUUCUUGGAACCAACCAACUCCUCCUCCCUCUCUACAUACUUUAGAUAAGUCUCUCCACCAACAGGUUUGGAAUUUCACUGGUGUAUGUGAACUGUCUAACUCCAAGCCAUACUUUGAGUCCAGAAACUCCUUCCACCUUCCUUUCUCUUCUGAUAAGAGACGUCAUCUCCACUUAGCCAGGAGAGCAUAGUUAAACUUUCGUAUAUCUUUGAACCCCAGUCCACCUUCCUCUUUCGGUUUACACAGGUCUUCCUAGCUUACCCAAGAGAUUGGUCUCUUCUCCUUUCCCCAACCACAUAGGAACCUUCGUUGAAUAAUGAUUAUGCUUUUAUAUACCUAGUCCGGCUCUUUGAAGAGGGAGAGGUAGAAAAGUGGUACAAUAGUGAUAACUGAUUUGAUUAGACAUAUUCUCCCCGUCAUGGAUAGAAAUCUCCCUUUCCACACACUGAGUCUAGCUUUUAACUUGUUUAGAAUAGGCUCCCAAAACUGCUUCUUCCUUGGGUUCCCUCCCACUUCUAGGCCCAAAUAUAUAAACGGGACUCCCAUCUGCCCAUAAUUCAAGGUCUUUGUGUAGCAUACAAGAGCGUUUCUAUCAACAUUGAUGCCUGCUAGCUUGGAUUUGUGAAAGUUAAUCUUCAAGCCUGAUGCUAGCUCAAAGCCCCUAAGAAUAGCCUUCAUAGUUACCACAUUGACAUAGGCAUCCUCACAUAAGAAGAGAGUAUCAUAUGCAAAUUGCAUGAUACUAAUCUCUACCUCCUUCCUUCCAAUCUUAGUACCUGACAAUAGGUUGGCCUAUUGGCUUCCCUUACUAACCCGGCUAGGCCUUCAGCUACCACAAUAAAGAGAAAUGGGGCUAAUGGGUCACCCUGCUUCAAACCUCUUGUUCGUUUAAAUUCCUCCGUAGGACUCCCAUUAACUAGCACGAAGACGGUAGCGGAUUCCAUACAGCAUCAGAUCCAUUUUAUCCAUUUGCUGUGGAAACCCAACCUGUGAAGCAUAUCAUAUAAGAAAUCCCACCUAAUCGAGUCAUAAGCUUUUUCAAAAUCCACCUUAAAGCACAAUCCUUUCCCGUCGUACCUCUUCAGAUCUUCUACCACUUCAUUAGCCAUAAGCACACUAUCCAGCAUCUCUCUGUCCUUUAAAAAUGUUGAUUGGCUUUCAUCGAUAACCGAUGCUAGCACUUUCUUUAUUCUGCCAGCCAACACCUUUGAUAUGACUUUGUAUAUUGCGCCCACUAGUGAGAUAGAACGAUAUUGUUCUAGCUUGGUGGGGUCUCUUACUUUAGGUACUAAUGCAAUGAAUGAUGCAUUACACCCUUUCAGAAUUUGUCCUGCUUCAUGAAAGUAAGCUAAAGAUGCAACAAACUCAUCUUUGAUAAAAUCCCAACUUUCCUUAAUAAAGUUGAAAUUAAAUCCAUCAGGAUUAGGACUCUUUGACCCAUCACAUUGCCAUACUGCAUCCCUCACUUCUUCCUCGGAGAAAACAAAUAUAAGACUCACGUUGUCUUCGGGGGAAAGAGAUUUAAACUCUACCGCAUCGAGUCUUACCCCGAAAUCUCUUGUUGCUUUAAACCUAUUUUCAAAUAGCUUCUUCGCUUCUAUUAGAACGGUAUUAGGUUCUUCACACCAUUGGCCCCCAACCUCAACUCCCUUGACUUCAUUUUUAAGUCUUCUCCACCUUAAGGAAGAAUGGUAGAACCUAGUGCAGGAAUCCUCAUUCUUCAGCCAACUUGCUCUAGUCUUUUGACAUAUAAGGGAUUCUAUCUUUUUAUCAGUCUCCCUUAGUCGGUUCGCCAGUUCAGUUCUUUUCAACCUCACACGUCCCAAGAGAUCACCAUUGUCGUCGUCUUGGCAAUCUAGGAUCUCUAUUUCCUGCAGGAUGCUAUUCUUGGUUGACUCUAGGUUCCAAACACAUCUUUAUUCCAUAGUUUUAAGUCAACCUUCAGCAAUUUUAGCUUUUCUUUGAUCUUCGUUAUUUCAUUCCCCUGUACUAAGUAUGAUUGCCAUUUUCCUUUCACCAAAUCAUUAAAACCCCUCUCCAUGUGCCAGACGUCAAUGGUCCUAAAAGGUUUAGGACCCCAAUCCUUAUCCACGGUCUUCACCACUAACGCACAGUGGUCUGAAACUUCCCUCCUCAGGACAUAUUGUUUGCACAUUGGCCAUUUUUGUAGCCACUCUUGAGAGACAAGAACUCUGUCUGGUCUACUUUUAGUCGAACCAUUUGACUUAAACCACAUAUAUUUCUUACCUACUAUAAGUAAAUCCAACAAUAAGUUGGAGUCGAUGAAGCUAUUAAACCCAAAUAUCUCACUUGAUUGGUCUCCCCUGUUCCUUACACCUUUCCUUUCACUUCUGCUUCUUAUGGCAUUAAAGUCACCACAGAAGCACCAAACUGAGUCUUGAGAUGCCACUUUAAUAUUGGUUAGUUCCUCCCAUAGAAUCUUCUUUUCACCCAGAUGCAGCGUAAAUAUUUACUACAACACACCUACAGUUCGAUUUUAGGUGCUGACCAAAUAUAGCAAUGUACCCCUCCCCCAUCUGGUGACUUUCAAAACUAAAAGCUUCUUUGUGCCACAUUGACAACAAACUUCUAGCUCCGUUGUCCCCUUCAUUGUGUAUCCAUUCAACUUUGUUGUCCCCCCACAUAGAAAAACAUCUAGGAUGCGAAAAGACAGUUGUUUUUAUUUCUUGCAGACAUACAAAUUCUGCUCCCUCACAAGUGAUGAUAUGCCUCAUGUACCUAGCUUUGGUACCUCCUCCCAAACCUCCAAUAUUCAGGUUUACUAUCAACAUAAAUAACCACUUUUGUUACCCUCCUCAUAACUCUGCAUAACCUCCAAAUCUCUCACAUCCAUACACUGAAAUUCUUUCACAACCUCUACUUCAUCCCCACGGCAAGCGAUGCCAAUAUGUUUAUUAAUCUCCCAUAGCUUUGAUGGUUCCUCCAUAUAUUCCGACUCACGAUAUCUUGAGUUGCAAUUAUUGAUAUCCCCAUCAGAAAUGGUACAAAAUUCUUUCCUACACAAGAAUGAGAGGUAUCCCUUACCUAGGAUGUUCUUGCACUUAUUCUGACCGACCGCCUAGGGUGGGUGCUUGAUUCGCCCAAUUCCCAUAGUCCUUUCAUCUUGUGCCGUCGUGGGGGUGUUUUGCAGAUGCUUCCCACAUAUGCUUCCUCAUCUCCUAGCAAGAGAGAUACAUUCCUGCUUGGGCUAGUAUCCUUUGGUUCGUCAUUAGCUUCUUGGGCCCUAUGCAUAUCACGAUUAUCUUGUAGACCAUCUUGCUCCCACGGUUUCAGCAUCAAUCCGACAAGCGGCUCGGGUUUAGCUGGUUGCCUCAACGUGUUUUCUUCGUUGGAUUCUUCCUCUAGCACCUGCACCACCGAAGCUGUAGCUUGACAUUCGUAUUCUCCAGUAUCGAUUUUCUCUUCGCACCCUGACCCACAACCCAUCUGCAUAGACCCUUCAUCUCCCUCUUCCAAUUGGGCCAACGCACAACCCUUCUCUUGUCCACUUCGGGCCAAUUGCUUCCCCUGUUGGGCCAAGGAAGUAUUGGGCUUACGCUGGGUAAAGUUGUUCUCAACAUCCACCACAAGUCUAGCCAGCUCAGCGUGUUCAGAGAGGCUAUCACUAUCGGGGUCGCAGAUGUAGGUAGAGUGGUUGGCAGGAUCAACCUCUUCAGAUACCUUCAGACCCUUCAUUCCUUCAUUAGUGAAACUCUUAAAAACUUUUUCCUGGCUUACCUCUCCUUUCGUUGCAGAUACCUCAAAUGGUUUAUCCUUUGUCGUAUGCGCUUCCUGUUCCCCACCUUCAUCUGCCUCUCCUUCCUCCGCCUCCCCCUUUGACCCGCGGUCCUUCCUAUCCCAAACCUUGACCUCCUCCUCACAGCUUUUCGCAAAUAAGUCUGUUUCUUCUAUAUAGGUCUUCGACAAAGAGAUACUAUCAAAACACUCAUAAACAUUGAGGGCACACUUACAUUGGCUUUCAUUUAUUGUUGAGUUCUCCUCUUCAAUGAAUAUAUUGAACGUUUGGUCAUUUAUCUACAUACCCUUCGCCAACCUAGCGUUACAGUUCUUCAAUAAAUGAACUUGAAGUCUGGCGUAUUCAAGGUUCUCCCAUAAUAACGUGGACUUAUCAAUGGCCACCAGCUUUGCCACUUCUCCUACCACUUUAGAAAAAUAGUCCUUGUUCCAGAAGGUGAUCAGCAAACCAUAGCACCUCACCCAGACUAUCUUAUGGCCUGCUACAUAAUCUUCCAACCAAGGGUCAACGAUCUCAAAGACACUUUCGAACCACUCCUUGUUAAGUUUCAAAAGAUCUUCCAUGCUCUCCCCUUCUCUUGGCGUCAGGAGAGUUAGGUUGUCACCCAAAUACCUCACUUUUAUCAUGUUCAUUCCUCCUUUCACAAAUUCUUCUCCCAGUUGGGCAAAGUUCAUAUCUAUAUUGAACUGGCCAAUGACACUGUUUUCCAUCCACGACAAUACAUGAUGUUGCGUCUUGAUAACAGGUCCCUUCCAUUUCUGUUGCAAUUCACCUUUAACUAUGUCAGCAUAGGAUUUGUUUCCUUUCUUUUCCACCCAUACCUCUUUUCUCUUCAUCUUCCCGUUUAACACCGGAACCUCCUGGAUUCGCUUCUUGGUAUCCUUUGGGAUCUCCUUGUGUAGGAUUCUGUUUUCCCUUCUCGAUACUCUGUUAGAUUCCAACUCAUGCCUUCGAUAUCUUGGAAUGUUCACGUAAAGCUUCAUGUUUCCUAUAUACACUACAAGAAAAUCAUGAAAUAGAAACCAAUUUUUAGAGACCAAAAUAAUUAGUUGCAAUGGUAACUAAAUUAGAUACCAUUUUAGAAAAUAAAAAAAAAUUUGGUUUCUAAAUUAGUUUCUAUUAUUGUUAAAUAGUUUCUAAAUUGGUAUCUAAUUAGCAACCAAGGUUUUAAAGACCAAAUUUAGAAACUAAAUAAUUGGUAGUUAAAACUUUGGUUGCUAAUUAGAUACCAAUUUAGAAACUAUUUAACAAUAAUAGAAACUAAUUUAGAAACCAAUUUUUUAUUUAGUUUCUAAAAUGGUCUCUAAUUUAGUUACUAUUGCAACUAAUUAUUUUGGUCUCUACAAAUUGAUUUCUAUUUCAUGAUUUUCUUGUACUGAUAGAUUUGGUCUAGCUCCCUCUCCAGUCGUCCUGCAUUUCUCACUUCAAAGAAUCUUACAAACCCAAAUCUUCUCUCCCAUCUGUUUAGCCUACGGGAUAUGAAGACUUCUUUUACCCUAGUCCAUUUUUGGAAGACCUUAAUCAUGUCUAGUUCACCAAAGCCAUUUGGGAAGUUUGAGAAGAAGAAUGUUGUAAAAUCAUAUGUAGGUUUAUGUGGUUUGUGGUCAUACCCAUGGCCACCGUAUCUCUGAGUUCUUCUCCCUUCCAUUUCUCUUGGGUUAAGUUCUUUGUUGCAAAGUUGAUGUCUGAAUUUCUAUGUGGGGUAUUGGCUGGACCAAUUAAUGAACAAUGAUUGUGAAAAUUAAUUUUUUGUUUGUCUUAUAAGUAGUAGAAUUUAAAUAUAUUAUGAUAAUUAUAUAUGCAUGUUUCUCUCUUUAUGUAGAUGGAGAAUAAUGGUGGCUUCAAUGUCUUCGUCAAUCCCAAUGUGGACUACGCAUUCAUAGUGGCGCUACUUAUGAUUGUUAAGGACAUGAAUUGUUGUGAUGAGCCCCAGAAUAGUACAAAUACAAAUAAAACUAUUAGUGCCCUAAAAAUAAUUUCAUUAUCUUUUUGAAGUAGCUAAAUAAAUAUAUUGAAUAAGAAAAUAUAAAUAAAAGUGAGGAAAUAAGUUUGGAGUCCUCCCUAAUGUACUUAUAUAGAUGUCUGUUGUAUUAUGUUGUAUAUGGCUAUUUCUUUAUCUUUUAUUAUAUCAAUGACAGUAAAGUUAAUGGUAACUUAUAUAGAUCCGAAAUGUGUGGGAGAAGUUUUUUUUACCUUAUCUCUUGUAAUAGCAAAACCCAAACGACACAAUUUUGUAGGCAAAACAAAAAAAAAAACAUUCAUGGUAUAGGAAAAACUUAUCUUAAAGUUAGUUAUAUCAACAAUUACCAAGUUGAUAUGUUAUGUAAAUAACUUACUCACGAAUUAUUCUUUGAAUAAUAACUUAGUUAUAGGUAAGUUACCAUUGAAUAAAUUUGUGAAUAACUUCGUAGAUCAAUGCAUGCAUGGAUAACUUAUCUAUAGAAUUUCUUUUAGCUAAAUCAUGCAUGGACUUUUUUUUAUGAAUAAAUCCAUAAGAAAUAGUAAGAAUAUUUUUCGUCUUCCAAGUCAUGCCACUCUAUACUUCUAUAGUUACAAAUGUGAAAGAAAUUUUAUCUCAACAUUUAAAUAUCAUAUCUCAAAUAUUCAACGUUUAGUUCAAACAUCCAUAUGCAACACACUGAAAAAAAAAAGUUUUAAGGGGAUUUAUUUUUACAUUAUUCAGGGUUAAAACCUCUAUUAAGUCAUUUAUCCAGGGUUGCAGUUUCCCCGCUAAACCAUUCUUGGGAAACGUGUUCAUCGGGGUUCUUUUAAACCUUAGGAAAAGUCUUUCACAAUCCAUGUUCAUGGGUUUAAGAACCUCCGUAAAAUAUCAUGAGUUUUCAAAACCUUCGUAAAAUAUCAUUAGUUUCAAAAUUUUCGUAAAAUGACUUGCCAUUUGAUAUAACCUUCAACCUCAUUUUCCAUCAUCUUUAACAAUUCUCCGGACUUCUCUCUUCCACUUUAGAUACACUGCUCUCCAGCACAUGCUCAAUGGCCGCCAACGACAGUCCUAGUAAGGAAUCACAAUUCAGCCACACUUAUGUCUAAGGAGAAGAAACAUUAAAUAAGGCAUUGUCUUCUUCGAACUCCAAUAUUGUUCUUCCCCAACUUGGAUCACAAGCCACUAUUAUCUAACACAGCAACAACUGAUGUUUAUCACUGUUUUAUAUAUCCUAAAGAAUUGCAUUAUCUAUCAAAUGUGGGCUUCAAAACCAUGUGUGUUCUUGACUAACAAUUGCAAGAACAUAUUGCAAGAAGAAAUUAACUUUAUUACUUCUCACUUUUACAGUGAAUUAAUUAUUAGAUGUAUUUUAAAAUAAAGGCCUUAAUUUAAAAUAUUUCAAAAUUAUGAGAAUUAAAUAUUAACAAUUAUAACUAAAACUAAAAUUGCACAUAAAAUAUACGUACAUCAAAAGUUAAAACAAAAUAAGUCAGAUUUUUUGAAGUAUGAGCUCGUAACAAAAAAAAACUAGGAAUUAUAUAAACCAAAUAAUCAAUCAUAAGAUAUAUGCAAAUAUUGUUAAAAUACUUAUUAUCCAAGAUUAGUUGUUGAAAUACUUAUUAUCCAAGGUUUUUUUGUAGAUUUUUUAAAAUAAAUUUUUGAAACUUGAGAAAACUUAUUUGUAAUGGAAAGUUACACUUUCAAAAUUUUAGAGAAUUUAGUUAUAAAGUAUAUAAAAUAUAUUUAAACUAUGUAGUUUUAAUUAUUUAUUUAUAAAUAGAUUUAAUUAUAUUUAUUUAUUCAAGUUUGAAAAAUAUGGAGUGUUUUAUUGAGGUUCUAUAAUAAAUCUUUGAAAUUUAACGAAGGUUAAAAAAACUCUGUUAUUUUGUUGGGAUUUUAGAAUAAACCUUUGAAACUUAACAAAGGUUAAAAGGACUUUAAUUUACUGAGGUUGUAGAAUAAACCUUUGAAACUUACUGAAAGUUAAAAAAAUCCUCUGUUAUUUUGCCGAGGUUUUAGAAUAAACCUUUGAAAUUUAAUGAAGGUUAAAAAAACCUCCGUUAUUUUGUUGAGAUUUUAUAAUAAACCUUUGAAAUUUAACCAAGGUUAAAAAACCUCUGUUAUAUUGCUGAGGUUUUAAAAUAAACCUUUUGAAUUUAAUGAAGGUUAAAAAAAAAUUCGUUAUUUUGUUGAGAUUUUAAAAUAAACCUUUGAAAUUUAAUGAAGGUUAAAAAUGUAAAACAUGGAAGCUUUGAUGAUCCAAAUCAAAUCUGAGUGAAGGGUUGAUGCUUUGGUGUUUUGGUUGGAGCUUAGUUCUAGGGUGUUUAGAAUUCUUGUACAGAUCAUUCUUGUCCUAUGCACAAAGCUAAAUCAAUCUAUGUUAAAAGAGAAAAAUGUUUUUCUAAGCAAAGAGAAAAACAACCGGUUGAAAUCACGAUAUAAUCAGUUGUUUUACACUUAGCCUGAUUGAAGGUUUUCAAUACUGUUUUUGACUUGGUUGACUAACUGUCAUAACCAAUUCAACCGGUUAAAACGACAUUUCAACCGGUUGAUUGUCACGUUUCAUAACAUCUUUUUCAAAAACCUGUUGAAUCUGUUUUCAGUUCGGAAGAUUUGUAUAAGAGUUAAUCUUGUCAACCUGAUUCUAGUGUUCUUGGUCCUUGUUGUAAGAACAAUAUAUAUAGCUUACAUAAUAGUGUUAAUGAUUAUAGUCUNNNNNNNNNNNNNNNNNNNNNNNNNNNNNNNNNNNNNNNNNNNNNNNNNNNNNNNNNNNNNNNNNNNNNNNNNNNNNNNNNNNNNNNNNNNNNNNNNNNNNNNNNNNNNNNNNNNNNNNNNNNNNNNNNNNNNNNNNNNNNNNNNNNNNNNNNNNNNNNNNNNNNNNNNNNNNNNNNNNNNNNNNNNNNNNNNNNNNNNNNNNNNNNNNNNNNNNNNNNNNNNNNNNNNNNNNNNNNNNNNNNNNNNNNNNNNNNNNNNNNNNNNNNNNNNNNNNNNNNNNNNNNNNNNNNNNNNNNNNNNNNNNNNNNNNNNNNNNNNNNNNNNNNNNNNNNNNNNNNNNNNNNNNNNNNNNNNNNNNNNNNNNNNNNNNNNNNNNNNNNNNNNNNNNNNNNNNNNNNNNNNNNNNNNNNNNNNNNNNNNNNNNNNNNNNNNNNNNNNNNNNNNNNNNNNNNNNNNNNNNNNNNNNNNNNNNNNNNNNNNNNNNNNNNNNNNNNNNNNNNNNNNNNNNNNNNNNNNNNNNNNNNNNNNNNNNNNNNNNNNNNNNNNNNNNNNNNNNNNNNNNNNNNNNNNNNNNNNNNNNNNNNNNNNNNNNNNNNNNNNNNNNNNNNNNNNNNNNNNNNNNNNNNNNNNNNNNNNNNNNNNNNNNNNNNNNNNNNNNNNNNNNNNNNNNNNNNNNNNNNNNNNNNNNNNNNNNNNNNNNNNNNNNNNNNNNNNNNNNNNNNNNNNNNNNNNNNNNNNNNNNNNNNNNNNNNNNNNNNNNNNNNNNNNNNNNNNNNNNNNNNNNNNNNNNNNNNNNNNNNNNNNNNNNNNNNNNNNNNNNNNNNNNNNNNNNNNNNNNNNNNNNNNNNNNNNNNNNNNNNNNNNNNNNNNNNNNNNNNNNNNNNNNNNNNNNNNNNNNNNNNNNNNNNNNNNNNNNNNNNNNNNNNNNNNNNNNNNNNNNNNNNNNNNNNNNNNNNNNNNNNNNNNNNNNNNNNNNNNNNNNNNNNNNNNNNNNNNNNNNNNNNNNNNNNNNNNNNNNNNNNNNNNNNNNNNNNNNNNNNNNNNNNNNNNNNNNNNNNNNNNNNNNNNNNNNNNNNNNNNNNNNNNNNNNNNNNNNNNNNNNNNNAGUUGGUAGUGUAGCACAGGUGUAGUGACAAUAUAAUAGUUGUGUAUCUCUUCUCUCUCUCUCUCUCUCUCUCUCUCUCUCUCUCUCUCUCACUCCUUAUAAACUGUUUGAUUUUAUUUUGUAUUGAUGCUGUCAUAAAAAACCGAUUAAAACGAAGUUUCAACCGAUUGAUAUUCUGCAAACAGUUUCAAUUACCUUGUUUGAUUGGCUUCCUUGAUUACUCUUCUGUGAUUGUUGUUAAAACUUCAUUCUUAUCCAAUCUUUUCAAAAAUCUUUUGACAAACAAUUCACCCCCCUCUUGUUUAGGCCAUUAAUUCUAACAAAAAAAACCUUCGUUAUUUUGUUGGUGUUUUAGACCAACCUUUGUAACUUAAUGAAGGUUAAAAAACCUUCGUUAAUUAAAUCACAUCCUAGGGUUAUAUUAACCUCCACUAAAUAACCUCCGUUAAAAUCCUUUUUUUCUUGUAGUGACAACAACAUUUAACUUCAAACUAUAUUUUAACUUAAAACUCUAUAAAUUACUAAAUGUUAAGAGUGUGUAACUUGACAGAGGGUGUUAACAAAAUGUUUUCCUAUCGAAAAUCACAACCCCUCACACAAAGUCCACCCCCGAUGUAUGAAUGGGAUGAGGAUGCAUGAUCCACUCAUCAUAUUUCGAUAGGCAUCUUGGAGGGUGUGGAGUGGUGUGGCUCGAACUUCCCAUCCUCCUUAUUGCUCUCUCAUGGUAGGAAUUCACAUAGAAUUCUCUCAUUAUGCUCUCGUUGAAAGUGUGUUGAGUUGUACCAACUUAUUCAAUCUUCCGCUCUUUAAUUUUAAGACAAACCACUCAUAUUUACCUUACUGAACUCUCACCCAUCUUUGAUAUGAGUUUCUUCUACAUAUUUGCUUUAAAUGAUACUCAAGAAGUGGAGGGUAGAAGAUAUCCCCAUCAUAAAGAAGUUAUUCAUUAUUUCGAUUGUCAGCACUAGAAUAAGAGAUCCCUCUCAAAAGAAUCCAUUGCCUUUUAGUAACAUUGUUGGAGUCAAUCACUCUUGAUACAACCCAAUUCAAUAAGCAGAUGACUAAGGACACCACGAAAAUUUCACAAUUAGGUUAGUCAUCUCAACAUCCAAGACAAGACCGUACCAAACAUCAGAAGGACCUCAGCAGAAGAAAAACUGGACAUAGACCAGAGCAUCAAAUGUUGUUUCUUCUUGUCGUUUUACAAGACAAGUUUAUGUAAAUAAUUUUGGCUCUUUCUAGGGGUUCAAAUAGAAAAAUAAGCUAGAGUAGGGUGUACUUAGUAUAAAUUGGGCUUGUGCCAAAGCCCACCUUAACCUAGCCUCUAGAAACACAUCCAUGUGCCACCCAUGUGCUCACCUUUGACCUAGAUUCUAGAAGACUCCCCAUGUGCUCACAUUUGACCUAGUUUCUAGAUGCUUGUAGUCAUUUAUACCCCUACCGUUCCUCUCUUCCUCUUCAAGGCACUUAUCUCUAUAAAUAGGGUGUCUCCCCUCUUGUAAAGAACACAUUGAAUUUUGAAUAGAAAAUAAAAUUUGCCAGAGUGUUUAGUGAGUUGAGUCUCCUAGAAUUUGGGUCUUAUCUUGAGUGCUCUACACUUCAAGUGGCGGCUCUUCACCACUCAUCUUGGAGUCUCCUCCCCCUCCAAGUGGCGUGACCACACCUUCAUCAUCCUAAGCUUCUCUUUCCUUUCAUCUUUUUAUUUUUCUUUUCCUUUAUGUUCUUGUGUUCAUCUUUUGCUAUUCAGUUUCCAUCUUCUUUCUUUCCCUUAUAUGCUCUUUAAUUUUGCACCACAUUCAUCAUCAACACCAUAUAAUUGUGUUUUCUCUUUGUCCUCUAGAAGUGAACCUUUACACUUACUUAAUCACGUGGUUAAGUUCUUGUCCAGUGGGAAUCUUCUUUGAGUUUCUCACCAUAUUCGACUUAAAAUAAAAAACCAUAAACAAAAUGAAACACAUAAAAAUGUACAAUUCUAAAAUUAACUCACAUCAACUUUUCUCAUAAUCAUUGUUCUAGUCAUCUAUUAAAAAAAAUAAUAGUAUUAGAAAGUCAAUGCAUCAUUUUAUGUAAAAAAAUAUUAGUGUUAGUUUUUAAAAAAUAAGAAGCACUUAAGCGAAGACGAAAUUGUUUAAAGUGUCAAUCAUUUAAAUGAUAAAAAAAAAUAGGGUCUAAAGGACAUCAAUCAAGAAAGUUAGUAUUUACUUAAUGUUCAACGAGGUGCUUUAAUGUCUUCAAAUCCAAGUGGAAUGCAUGAAGAUCCUUGUUGUUGGUUGUGUGUGUCUAAAAGUAGUUGAAUUUGUUAAUUCACUCCUUGUGGUGAUCCAAGGUUAAAUGAAUCUUAAUCCUUUUGAAAAAAGAUAUGUUUUCUAAAGAAAUUGAAAAUUCAACAUGUUGAAAUGUCGAUUCAACUGGUUGUUUUACACUUAGUAGAUUUUGAAAAGGUUUUGGAAAGCUUGACUUUGUUUGAAUUUGCUAUCAAGCCAAUCGUUUGAUUCGUGAUUUCAAUAGAUUGAUUUUCUGAAAACCUUAACAAAAUUUUGUUAAGUUGUGGAAAUUUGUUUUAAAUGAUUAAAAUUGCUUUUGGUUCUUGAAUUAAAUGCUUUGACCAUCUGAUUGGAGUUUAAAUAAGUUGUUUUACGCUCCUGGUCAUUAACUAAGUAAGAGAGUUUAAUCAAAACUAAUUUUUCAAGAUUUCAAAGUGUUUUGGAUCAUUCUCAAGUGUGGAAUAGGAUAUUCAUGUAUUCUCUGUACUUUAAUCUUUGAUUGUACCUAUGUGUAUUCUAUUCCUUUAUUUCUUGAUCACUGUAAUUCUGUUUGACUUGGUGUUGUGCACUUUCAGAGGUUGUUCUGAAAAUUGUGUGUUGUUUGCCAAAGGUGGUGUGUGUUCUUGAAGGGUUCAAGAUCACCAUUUUGGUGUGUUGUUUGUAAUUAGGGUUUGAUUACUCAGUGAAUUCUUAGUGUUUUUUUAGUAUUGGAUGUAGUUCUUGGUAAAGAGUGAACGAGUAUAAACAUUUUGUUAUCCUUACUCUUUUUAAAACUACUUUAGCUUUGAUUUUAUAAAUUGCUAGUAUAAACAACCAAUUGUUUAAAAAAACAACGGUUGAUUUUCUGUAAUCAAACUAAGAACAGUUUUCUAAUUGGCUGAAAUGAUUGGUUUUCAAUCUACCUUCGAUACUUGCGAAAAUCUUUCAUAAACAAUUUAUACUCCAUCUUUUUUACGGCUUAAGUUAAAUUCAACAUACAUUUAAGAGGCAAUCAUUUAAGUGAAUUAAGACACUUAAGUGCUUUCACUUAAACAUACUUAUUUAAACAUACUUAUUCUAAUAUAAGAAGUUAUCGCUUUAAGCGCAUGAUUCUUCACACUUAAAACAAAUUUGAAAAACACGAGCUCACCAUAUCUUUCAAAGCUACCCUCAAUAACUAUAACUAUACAGAUGAAAAUUACAUUUAUUGCUAUAGUAAAUAUUUGUUAUUGAGAGAACAAAUGUAAAAUAGCAAGCAAAAACAUAAAUAAAAAAGGAGACAAGAAAAGAAAAUAUAAAAGUGAAGUGCAGGAAUGAUGAUAACAAAAGAUCACAUGAUGAAUGCCAAAGAAUCUGAAGAAAUUAUAAGUGGAGAAAGUAGAAAAGAAAGGUAUGUUAAAAAAUGAGUGGGAUAGGAAUUAUACAAGAAGGUGAGGGACGAAUAGAUGUAAAUAUGCUUGUGAUUAGGUUAACAACGAUUAAAAGGUUAAAUAUUUUUAAUUUCCGCUACUUUGAAAAGUUGGUAAAUUUUAAUAUCUUUAAGCACAUGCAACAGUAAACUUAAAGCAGGGGUUAAGUUGUGCUUAACUGAUGUCAAAACACAGAUUAAUUAAGCACUAAAGCAUGAAUUAAGUUGCACUUGCGCUUAAAUGAAGAGAUGUGCUUUACUCAUGACUUUAUGUGACUGCAUUCAAUCACACAUAUAUGCAUCAUUCUUUAUAUUUUUAUCAAAAAAAAAUUUAUUAAUGUAAAAGAGAUUUUUUAUAUAUUAUUUAAGAUAAAAAUUUAUGUACGUUAAUGGAUGUAAAUUUACGUUGGACCCGAUCUCCAUUAUGUCAAGGCACAGCACAAUAAACGUGUAUUUAUAAUAGAAAAAAAAAUUGUACAAAAUUUAUGUCGGAUAUUAUAAGAUUUUAUGUAAAUUUUUGGAUUUUUUUUAAAUUACACUGGGUUUGGCAUCAAACCAAAACCUGAAAUACAUAAAAAGUAGACAUUUUAACUAAAAAUUCUAUACUAAAUCUCUAAUCUAACUUAAAAAAAAUAUGAACAAGAAAAAAAAUCUAUACUAUCAUAAUUCACGUAUAAACAAAAUUUAAUAUUUUGAUAAAUUUUUGACAAUAUAAGUACACAUGUGUACAAAAUAAAAGUAAUUACAAAUAAUCAUGGUCAAUAUCCAAUCAAGUAAAAAUACAUUAAAUUAUAAAAUUAAAAACAUAUUAAAUUACAAUUAAGUGGAAAUACACAUUAAUAUGAAAAUGGUCGAAAAUCAAAGCCAAUGUUACAAUUAAUGUUUACUUUUAAUUCGGUCCGCGAUCCAAGUAAAAUUAUUAAGGAGCUCCUAUAAUACUGCUCACUAACAAUGGCGUUAUUUUGGUUGUCAAAUUCAACACUUCGUUGUAGUAGAAUUUAAUGUCAUUAAUAAUCAUAAGUAGUGUCACUAUGAAUGCGUAGUCCACAUAGGGAUUCACCAAGACAUUGAAGCCAUCAUUAUUCUUCAUCUACAAAGAAACACAAACUAUAUAUGUUCCUUAUUGUAUCACUAAUAUACAAACAUUGUUUCUAUAUUGAUUAAAAGGUUCACAAACAUAAAAAUAUGUUUCUAUAUCCGAUAAUGUAACUAUUAGUGAUAACUAAUAUACUCUUAUAUGAGUAGAGUUUUUAAGCUUACAUAUUUGUUCUUCUCUUUGUUUAGAGGAUCAUCAUAAUACAACUCUAUUUUUUAUCUUAUUCAUCUUUUGUAAUAUGGUAUCUAGAGCUUAUUAAGAUCUGGCCAUGAAUUUUAUUCUUUUUCUUCUAUCAUGCAUUGUAUAAAUUUUUCUAUUUCGUCCUCCUUUCAGCCUCAUACUUUUUAGCCUCCUAUAUAUUUCAAGUUGGAUGAUGACAAUUUUCUUAUAUGACAACAAGUUCUUACGACUAUCAAGGGUCCCCAAGCUCACACAAAUCUUGGAUAAUCCUAAUCCUCCUUUCAAAUACAUAUAGAAGAUGUCGUGAACAACAUUGUAAAUCCAAAAUUUCUUCAAUACAAACAACAAGGUCACAUUCUUGUUGCAUGAUUCCUUGCUUCAAUGUUUACGCUCAUUCUUACAAAGAUGGUUGAUCUAAAUUCUUCCUUCAAAAUAAGGUCCAAGUUAAGGGUGUAUUAUGCGUCUUAGAAUAAAGAAAGAAUUAAGAAACUCAAUAUUGAAUUGAGUUCACAAAAGAAAGAUAGAACCUUUAUGGCGUAUUUGUUAAACAUCAAAAAGUGUGUUGACACUCUUGUUACUAUUGGAGCAACUCUUUCCAAUGAAGAUCAUCUUGAAGCUAUUCUUGAUAGAUUACCUAAAAAUUAUGAUAGUUUUGUUACUUCAAUCAUGUCCCAUCUUGAUCCUUACAUAGUUGAAGAAGUAAAAGCUUUAUUGUUAUCUCAAAAACAAAGGUUUACCAAACAUAGAUAUGUUAUCCACACUUUGGUCCAUCUAAUGAAAACCAACUGAGCAAAUCAAUAUUUGGUGGUUCAUAUUAGAAAAAUAAUCAUUUUCAAUCUCGCAACUCUUCAUCCAGCAGGUUCUUUAAAAUUUUUCAACAUAAACAACAAAAUAGAGUUUUUUUCAUCAAUUCUUAGAACUCCUUCCAAUGUUAAUGAUCCCUUGUGGUAUCCGGAUAGUGGAACAUGCCAUUCUCUAAAUCUAAUACUACUUAUACUACUACUCUUGAAUUAUUGUUCAUUGAUAUAUGAGAUCCAUCCCCGAUUACUUCUAAUAUUGGUGCUAGAUAUGUGACUUUCUUGGAUGCUUUUUCCCAAUUCACUUGGAUAUAUUUGUUGCAUAUAAAAUCUCAAAUCUCUAUUGUCUAUACUCAGUUUAGUUUUUUUUUUUAUGAAACACAAACUAGAUAUAAGUUGAAAUCAAUUCAAACGGAUAAUGCAAGGAAUUUAAUAGUCUUGCAUCAUUUGUUAACAUAAAUGCCAUAAAACAUCAAUUAAUGUGUCCUCAUACACAUGAAUAAAAUGGAUAUAUUGAACGUCAACAUAGACAUAUCACUGAAACUGGUUUGACUCUUUUGGCUAGUGCAUCUAUGCCACGAAAAUUUUGGGAAAAGGCUUUAAUGUUGUUGUUAAUAUAAUAAACACUUUAUCCACCGUUGUUCUUAAUAAUAAAUCUCCUAAUCAUGUGUUCUUUAAAAAACAAUUGAAUUAUGCUAGUUUAGGGACUUUUGGUUGUGCUUGCUACCUUUUCUUACACCACUAUAAUAAGAACAAACUUGAUUUCGAAUUCUCUCUUUAGUUAUUUCUUGGAUAUAGUAAUCACUAUAAAAGAUAUGUUUGCCUUUCCCAAAGGUGGAUGUACCUACAUUUUUAGACACAUGGUCUUUAAUGAAAAUGCUUCCCCUUUUUCCACCAAUGCUAAGUUUUUUCUACAACACAAUUCAAAUUCGCCUAUGCUUUCCUCAACUCCUUUUCCCUUAACUAUGUUUAAAGUUGUUUUUGCCACACUUGAUAAGACCCCAGAUAUUCCCGUUACAACUCAAUCCUUGUCUUCACCUAUUCCUAAUUUCGUUGCUUUGUCUAAUCUACCUGUAACUACUCCAACAACUACUUUUGACGCUACAACCUCCUCAUCACCUUCUCACAACGUGCAUCCAAUGGUAACUCAUGCCAAAUCAUUUAUGUUCAAACCCAAACCUUACAAUGUUUCUGUUUCUGAUAACUACAUUGAACCUGCAACUUUUAAAUAAGCAAUAUGUUGGAGAUCCCACAUCGACUAGAGAUAAGGGCCUUUCAUAGUAUAUAAGUGGGUGCAAACCUCAACCUUAUGAGCCGGUUUUAUGGGGUUGAGUUAGGCUUAAAGUCCACUUUGUAAUAUGGUAUCAGAGCCAUUUCGAGCCUAUCCUAGCGAGUAUUUGUGUUGGGCCUAUCGUGCCAUUCGCUAUCGGACCACCCAAAAAUAUAUAGUCCCACGCACGAGCUUCUAUCUAUCACUCUCGGCGUGAGGGGGGUGUGUUGGAGAUCCCACAUCGACUAGAGAUAAGGGCCUUUCAUAGUAUAUAAGUGGGUGCAAACCUCAACCUUAUGAGCCGGUUUUAUGGGGUUGAGUUAGGCUUAAAGUCCACUUUGUAAUACAAUAGUUGAUCCUAACUAGUUUAAAGUAAUGUAAUUAGAACACAAUUCUCUUAUGAAAAAAAAAACUUGGACUCUCACUAACCUCUCAUAUGAUUCAAAUUUUAUUAACUGUAAAUGGGUAUACAAAACCAAGUUCAAUGCAUAUGGCAACUUCCAAAGACACAAGGCACACUUGGUUUUUAAGGAAUUCCAUCAAACACCUGGUAUUGAUUACUCUAACACAUUCAAUCCAAUUGUUAAACCAAUCACUAUUUGGAUCAUCCUUGCUCCUGCAAUGUCUUGCAAAUGAUCUAUCUACCAAGUUGAUAUCAAUAAUGAUUUUUUCCAUGGUGAUUUAAAGGAAAUUGUAUACAUGCAACAACCACUAGGAUUUAUCUCAUCAAAUACACAACAAGUUUGUAAGUUGAGCAAGACCAUUUAUGAUCUUAAAAAAACACCAACUGGGCGUUAUUUUAUAAACUUAGCCACACUCUUAUCCUGAUGGGUUUUUUUGCUAUAAAGAGUGACUUUUCCUUAUUCACGAGGUUCAAUUAUGUUUCAACUCUACUUAUGUUGAUGAUAUCAUUAUAAUUGACAAUUGUUCUAUUGCAAUAUCAUCUCUUAUUACUUUUCUGCAUACCCGAUUUGCUUUUGAAGAUCUUAGUCCUUUACUUUAUUUUGUUGGAAUAAGGAUGUUGGAUUAAAUGCUUGCCACAUGGCCAAAAGUUAUAACUUUUUCUGCUUAACCUAACCCAUCUAGCCUCCGUCAUAGAAUAAUUGAUGUCACCUGCAACAAUAUCCCCUUCAACAAUUUUCCUAAUAGGAAUCAAACCCUUUGAUUGUGACUUGGCCCAUUUGACCCGCGCCACAGGACAAUUGUGCAACUUUCAACAAUCUCCCCUUAAACAGUUGCCUCACUGUGAAUUAAACUCGUGACCUUAGUUUAGAUACCAAUUGUUGGAUUAAGCGUUUACCACUAUGUCAAAAGUUAUAACUGAUAGUCAUGGUGCAACACUUUCUACUUAAGAGCAUAACAAUUUAAACACCACAAUUCCAUUAUAACCUGACCCAUCUAGCCUCUUCCAUGGAACAAUUGAUACCACUUACAAAACAAAGGAGACCACUAUUCAUCUUUUUCAAACCAAAUACAUUGAACAACUUCUUUGUAGAGUGAACAUGUAUGAACCUUAGCCUCAACCUACUCCAAUGAUAACAUCUCUACACCUCAUUCAAGAUGGCUAAAAUCUUUCCUUCUGCAAUAUGUUACUAUUAUAAGUUCAAAAUUAACUUCUUAUAUUAAUAAAGUCUCAAUAUAUGUACCAACCUCAAUAACAUCUUUAGAAAGCCCUUAAACAUGUUCUAUGUUAUCUAGCUCGAACAAUUUAUUAUGUUCUCGUUAUUCAACCUUCCAAUAAUUUCUCAACCAUUGGGUUUACUAAUGCUAAAUGGGAAUGGGAUUGUGAUCUUGGUGAUUGAAAAUCAACAAUAGUAUACUGUAAUAUCUUAUAUCUUGGCAAAAAUGUGGUUUCAUGAUGAUCUCAUAAAGAAUGUGUUGUGCCCAAAAGUACCACAAAGGUUGAAUAUCAUAGCAUCUGCAACUCUAACUGAUAUUACUUGAAUUGUCUCCUUGUGACGUGAAUUGUGCAUUAUUGAUCAUGUUCCAAACAUAUAAUCAGAUAAUCUAAGUGUUGUCUCCUAGCAACUAAUCUAAUUUUUCAUUCUCAACCAAAACACUUUGAGUUGGAUUUUCAUUUUAUUCGUGAUCAUAUCCAACAAAAAACUUAUUAGGCUAAUUCACCUUCCAAAAAGGUUUUAAAUGGUUGACAUUCUUACCAAACAUCUCUCUCAUUUACUAAGUUUCGUGAUAAACUUCUGGUCUUUCAAAGAUCAACCAUAACUUUACUGAGGAAUGAUAAUGCAAUUUUCAGUGAUAAUGUAAUCGUUAGUGAUAACUAAUCUACAAUUAUAUUAUUAGAGUAUUUCUAUAUGCUAUAUAUUAGUUACUCCCUCUGUUUUGAUAAUUAUCAUAAUACAAUUUCGUUUUUAUCUUCUUCCUCUUUUGUAACAAUAUUUGAUACCAAUGUAGAAACUCUCCAACAUUACUAUUAAAAUAUUUAUAUAGUAAGAGUACAUACCGUGGCAACAACCGUAGGAGAUUCACCUGCAAAAACAGUGCAUGAACUUUUGUCACUUGAAAUGUUUACCCUAAAGUCACGCACACUUUCUUUUUUGUUGUUUGCAAGGAAGACAUCUAAUUUAAUCACUCCACUCUGGAGAAUUUCCGAUUUCUUCACCGAGAACAGCAAUUCGGAGGAAUCACUGCUUUGGCCCCUGAAAACUUGGCAUCGUCGGUGCAUAGUCAUGAUCUAUUAUAAGAACAUUCGUCCAUAGUUUAGUAACUAAGGUGAUUUUGUUGGAAUGUUGAAUUUGUUAGAAACGAGGAAUAGGGUAUAAAAAUGCAUGAACACAGUACAAUCCAAUUAUGCAAUCAGCCCUAAGAGGAAGUGGAAAAACUAUAAAACCAUGCGUGAAAUUAAGGUUACGAAAAAAUUAAGAAAACCGCAACUAUGAAAUAAUAAAAAAAAAAAAGCCAACUUGAUAUAUUUCAAUAAUACAACAUUGACUUUUCACCGGACAAAGUAAAAAGUAGUUAUAUAUGAUUGAGCUACGGGAAAAAACACAUUAACUUGUAACCUUGCAUUUUUUUUUGUCUAUCUCUAUUGCAAGUAAUCAUUAAAGCUGAACAAAAAGUUAUUGUUAAUGGAAAAAUAAAAAUAUUAUAUUUCAACACGUCCCCUUCAAAAUGUCUUUCAACAUUCCAAGAUUUUAUCUUAACGUAAGGCCAUUGGUUACGAUUUAUGCAAUAUGAUUCUCAAAAUUGCAAUGGUCCAAGCCUACUUUUUUUACGUAUGUGCUUGUCUAAUAAUAUCAUUUAAUUCCGUUAUAUCAAAUGACUCAUGAAAUUGAUAGGAUGAAAGGUGAAUCGAAAUGUUGGAAAGAUUAAGUCUAAAAGUUGAAGAGUAAAAAAUAUAAAUAAAUAAAUUAUAAUUGAUUAUUGUAGCAAAGUCCAUAAUAACAUUAUCUUAAUAGAAUACUAUAAAUAGGUCAUCAAUUUAAGAGGUAUGUAGAGUGAAUUUAUCUGAUAAUUAUAUAAAGUUGAAUCUGACUUUGGCAUCGGAGCGCCUUGCAAUUACACACACCCAUCCGUGAAAGGAGACCGAGAGGAGAAGCAGAGAGAUCCAGUUAAUCCAACCCAACCAAGUGAGCUUGCCAAACAAAUAAGUCCAACCUAAAGUUAAGGUAGGAGUGAACCGAAAACCCAACUCGUAAGUAGAGACCGAGAAGCCUAGAAGAUUUAAGAAGUUAACACAUUUUAAAAGAAGAACAGUUUCUAGACCCUUGUACCAAAGUUUAUGUAUACCUUUUCUGAUUGGAUUUUGAACCCUCUUAUGGUUGAAAAUCUGUUAAUCUAUUAAUGUUGUUGUUCUUCUUUUAUGUUUUGCAGGGGAAAAGGAAGGUGUACGGGUACUCAGGCUACACCCAACAGGAAUAGUUGGCUUCUUAGGAAUGUAGUCAACCAGAGUGAAGGAUAAUAUUGCUGCAUGAGUGAGUUAGUGAUGGUCUUAGAUGUAGGGGAGAUUGGGUGACAUACAAAGCAAAUGAUGAAGAAUAGCACCGAAGAAGAAAAUCUGUUGUGUGAUGAUAGUGCUUGGUACACUAGUGCAAUUUCUUUGGACCUACUCUUAUCCAGUAUGCAGAAUUAUGUUGCAGAAUAUAUGGUAGAAAUAGCAUUGGAUACUGAUAAAGAAGAAGUGUUAAGCUUGGGUAAGAGAAAUCAUAUCUUGUAAAUGCUUUUGUUUGUAAAAUUUUCUAAUGGUUCAACUCAAGGGCUACUUAGCUCUACAAGGUUGAAAGAGAAUAUUGGUGAAUAUUGAUCUCUAUUAAGGAAAUAAUAAUUAUCAAAUUAUAUGUAAUUAUUGUAUGCAAUAUUUGACGAUAUUGUACCCAAUUAUAUGCAAUUAAUUUAAUAAUUAUAGAAUCUCAUGAUUAGUAUCCUACCUAAUCAGAUUGUAAUUUGAGGGAGAGAAACUCCCUUAUAUAUUUCCUAUACAUGAAGUGAUGUAAUAUGCACAUAAGAGAAUAAGAAACAUCUCUUCUUCUUACCAUUUUUUAUCAUUUUCUUAUAUGGUAUCAGAGCACCGAUCUUGGUGCCCUGACAGCCUCUCCAUUUUUAUUCCCUAAAUAAAAAAUCAUGUAUGGCAAAGAAGUCACUAGUAACGAGUCCGAUAGAAACCUCGUACAACGCUUCAGUGCCGAGCAAAUUCAGCAAUUGGAAAAGGUUAUUUACUCGCUCAACAAUAACGGUAAAAGUGACACGUUUGUUAGCUCUGCAGAUCUGCUUGCCCAUAACUCCUCUUCUAAUUCUGCUUUUACGAAACCAUGGAUUUUGGAUAGCGGAGCAACCCAUCACAUUGCAUCUGAUUCACAAUUUUUCACACACACUUCAUCAUCAUUUAUUUCAAAUGUUAAUCUGCCCACAGGCUCAACUGCACCCAUCUCAUCUACAGACACAAUUAAAUUCAAUGACAAAAUCACUCUCAAAGAUGUUCUUUGUGUUCCUUCUUUUAAUUUAAAUCUCAUGUCCAUUAGUAAGAUAACCAGUUCACUAAAUUGUUGUGUCGUUUUUACUCCACAUGGUUGCGUUUUACAGGACUUGGCUACGGGGAGGAUGAUGGCUCGGGUAAACAACACGCAGGCUUAUACUACAUGUCCCCUCUUCCAAACCAAGCCCACACAUCUCAAAUAUCGACCGAUCCUGAUUUAUGGCACAAGCGCCUUGGACAUCCUUCUCCGGCGUGUCUACAACUUGUAUCUUCCUUACUACCUAUCCCUAUCAGUAAAAAUCUCAUUUCCAUUCAUAAUCGUUGUAGUAUUUGUCCCAAAGCUAAACAGACAAGGCUACCCUUUCCUUUAAGCACAAUAAAAUCUCAUUCUCCAUUUAAUCUAUUGCAUUGUGACAUUUGGUGUCCUCAUAAAACCCCAACUCAUUUUGGAAAACGUUUUUUUCUCACUAUAGUCGAUGACUAUACUAGAUGUACUUGGCUAUUUCUUAUGAAUCACAAAUCUGAAACCCAACAUCUCUUAGAGUCAUUCAUUACAUUUGCACAAAAUUAAUUUCAGGCAUCUAUUAAAACCAUCCGCGUUGCCAACGGAUUGGAAUUUAUUUCAAUGUAUGAUUUUUUUCUUAAAAAAGGUAUUGAAUGUCAACGCACUUGCGUUUACACUCCUCAACAAAAUGGAGUAGUAGAACGCAAACAUAGACAUGUUUUAAACACAGCACGAGCCCUCCUAUUUCAGUCCAAUUUACCAUUAGAAUUUUGGGGAGAAUGCGUUUUAACUGCCACAUAUAUCAUUAAUCGCUUGCCAUCACCUUUACUAAAAAAUAAAUCACCUUUUGAGCUACUAUAUAAUCAACCACCUUCACUUUCUCACCUAAAAACUUUUGGUUGCCUCUGUUACGCAACUGUUGUUUCACCUAAGCAAAAAUUUGAUCCGCGCGCUCGACAAUGCAUCUUCAUUAGUUAUCCUCACAGUAAAAAAACAUACAAAUUAUUUGAUAUAGAUGUAGACACUUUUUUUACAAGUCGGGAUGUCAUCUUCUAUGAAAGUGUUUUCCCAUUCCGCCAACAGUCACAGACACAAUCCUCACCUCCAUUACAAGGUAUUUUGCCCACUAUUGACAUUGACUUACCCACUCCUGUCCAACAUUCACUCGAUCAACCUUCUUCUCUUACUCAUUACAAUGCACCUGAAUCUCCAUCAAACCAACCUUCUUCUCCUACUUGUCACAAUACACCUGAACCUCCAUCAAACCAACUCUCUUCUCCUACUCGUCACAAUGCACCUGAACCUCCAUCAAACCAACCUUCUUCUCCUACUCGUCAUAAUACACCUGAACCUCCAGUAGACCAACCUUCUUCUCCCAUGCCAAGAAGUUUAGCACCCAUUACCAAACCUUCUCCAACCGACCUUCCUGUUCGACGAUCCAGUCGCACAUCAACCCAACCUUCCUGGCUUCAAGACUACGUAACGGGAUCCCAAGCCAAUCAUUCGACCACUGCCCAAGACCGACCGAAUGGAACCAGGUAUCCUAUGAAUCAUUUUCUUUCUAAUUCACGAUUUUCUUCUACACAUAGUGCAUAUCUUGCUAACAUCACAGCCACCAAAGAACCUCACACUUAUGCUAAAGCUAUCCUUGAUCCAAAUUGGCAAAAAGCAAUGGACGAAGAGCUUUCCGCCUUGCAGCUAAAUCAAACGUGGACCUUGACACCGUUACCCGCUGGGCAGAAACCCAUUGGAUGCAAAUGGGUCUAUAAAAUAAAGUACAACUCAUAUGGUAGCAUCGACAGAUAUAAGGCGCGCCUUGUCGCAAAGGGGUACACUCAGAUUGAAGGUGUCGACUAUUCUGAAACUUUUUCACCUACAACAAAAUUAACAACUUUGAGGUGUCUCCUCACCAUUGCAGCAGCCAUAAAUUGGUUUACUCACCAGCUAGAUGUGUAAAAUGCCUUCUUACAUGGCACAUUGCAUGAAAUUAUUUACAUGGACUUGCCACCCGGCAUCAUCGACAGGGGGAGAACAUUGUAUGUCGACACAAAAAAUCCCUUUAUGGUCUCAAACAAGCAUCUCGAACAUGGUUUUCAACAUUUUCUCAUGUGAUUAAAUCUGUAGGAUUUCAACAGUCCAAGACAGAUUACUCUCUAUUCACAAGACAGAAUAACUCAUCAUUUACUGCCCUUUUGAUUUAUGUGGAUGAUAUUCUUUUGACAGGGAAUGAUUUGACCGAAAUUCAGUGUGUUAAAGAUUGUUUAUUACAACAAUUUCGCAUUAAAGAUCUUGGAGACCUAAAAUAUUUUCUAGGGAUUGAAUUUUCCCGUUCCAAAGCUGGUAUACACAUGUCCCAAAGAAAAUAUGCACUUGAUAUUUUGCAGGAUACGGGACUCACAGGUGCUCGUCCAGACAAAUUUCCAAUGGAACAAUACCUAAAACUCACACCAGACGAUGGAGAGUUAUUAAAGGAUCCAGUCAAAUACAGGCGACUCGUGGGACGACUGAUAUACCUCACGAUUACUAGACCUGACAUAGCAUUUUCGGUUCGGACCCUAAGUCAAUAUAUACAGGAUCCACAGAAACCUCAUUGGGAUGCUGCAAUUCGAGUCCUAAAGUAUCAAAGUAUCACCAGGACAAGGAUUGCUAUUGCCAUCCGAAAACAAUUUGACAUUGACAGCUUAUUGCGACUCAGACUGGGGAGGUUUUCAGACAACUCAGAGAUCAGUAUCUGGAUAUUGCAUUUUUCUUGGUUCCUCUAUUAUCUCAUGGAAGUAAAAAAAAACAGACAAACGUAUCAAGAUCAUCAGCGGAAGCAAAAUACCGCGCAAUGGCCAAUACUUGUUUGGAGAUAGUUUGGUUGCGAUAUCUGUUGCAGGAUUUAAAGGUGCCAUGUAACUUGCCAGCUUAACUUUUCUUUGACAAUCAAGCGGCAUUACAUAUAGCAACAAAACCAGUAUUUCAUGAACGCACAAAACACAUUGAGAUAGACUGCCACAUUGUGCGAGAAAAAUUACAAGUUGGGAUAAUCAGUCCUUCAUAUGUGCCGACACAGUAUCAGCUCGCAGAUAUUUUUACGAAGGCAUUGGGCCAGGAACGAUUUUUGACGCUACGACACAAGUUGGGGUUCUUGAUCUUCACUACCAACUUGAGGGGAGUAUUAAGGAAAUAAUAAUUAUCAAAUUAUAUGCAAUUAUUGAAUGCAAUAUUUGACGAUAUUGUACCCAAUUAUAUGCAAUUAAUUUAAUAAUUAUAGAAUCUCAUUAUUAGUAUCCUACCUAAUUAGAUUGUAAUUUGAGGGAGAGAAACCCCUAUAUAUUUCCUAUACAUGAAGUGAUGUAAUAUACACAUAAGAGAAUAAGAAACAUCUCUUCUUUUUAAGUUAUUUUGCUGAAUAUGUUUGGUAUUAAUGAUGGAAGAUCCUUAUUUUUUCUUCUGUAAUUUUUCUUUAUGGAUAUUGCAAGAGCUUUUAUUAGGAUUAUUUUUGUGCAGUAGUUUUUGUAUAAGAGUUAAAGUAUAAUACCUCUAUUUAUUUACUGUUUGUGCUAAUAAAAAAAAACCUCCAAAAAUGGUAAAACUAUGAAGCCCUUUGUUGAGCAAAGCAAAAGAUAAUCAUAACCAUACCAAGAGAAGAAACAUCGUUAACUUAUAAUUAGAAACAUGUUUUUCUGAAUCGUAAACAAACUUUUAAUCAAUAUUAUAAGCAACCUAAAAAAUUAAGCAGAUAUUUAAUAUCAAAGAUAAAAUGGAAAUCUGAAAUUGUAACAGAAUCGAUAAGGCUAUAAUCGAGUAAUUUGAUGUGGGAAGUGAAGGAGUAUAAUUGGUCAGAGUAGCCAAACCUUCUUGUACAGAGUGAGGAUGGGUUUUCCAGCAUCAUCAUACAAGACACGACGGUCGUGAACUGUUAAAAGGGGACGUUUGAUAUAAAAACGAAGGCGACCAUUUGCGUCGUAAGUGGCACCUUUCUCAGUGUUAAUUUGAAGAUUGAUAGUGUAAGGAGCACAGUAGGAACUGUUGAUAACUUGGAAUGGAUUUUCCAUUGGCGAGGGAGACACAGUAUUCUGAGCUGUAUAUGAUUGAUGGAGCAACCUACGAAACCACUGACUUAUGUUCACGCUGUUAUUGCAAUGUAUGGUAUCCAUGGAUACACGCCUUAAACACGGGACUUAGUCAAACUUUAAACUGAGGCGAAAUGUCAAAUAGGUUAAAUUUUAUGAAACAAGUACGUGCGUGACGUAUGGUAGGUAGUGAAUUAGAGUUAGAAGUAGAAGAAGACUUUAGUUGACUCCAUAGUUAAAACACGGAUAUGAACAUUCCGCAAACUCGAUACCAUGCAACUCAGUCAUUUAAUAGCUUUCAUUACUGGACCCACCAUGCACCAAGGUUUUGUUUUUUCUUAUCAUCAGCUACCUUACCUAUCAGUAUUAAUUGCAAAAAUUAUUAUUAUGAUUUAAGACUUUGUUAGAAAACUAUUUCUGGUAAUUAAUUAUAAAAUUAAUAUAAUUGAUUGUCAGUUUUCUUCUCUUCCGUCAAGAUAUUUUCGUUUUCGCUCUAAUUUUUUUUCUGUCUUUCUCUCAUUUACUAUUUUCUUUUCAUUUUCUUUUAUAUUUUUCUAAAAUACAUUAUAGUAGAUCAGAGAAUAAGAUAAUGAGAUUUCACUUUUCAUUUGUUUUUUCAACUGAUGAACAAUAUGAUUUAAUAACGCCUUAAUAUGACCAUUUGAAUUUACCUGUCAUGAGUCAAAUAAUGAUAAAUUUUUUAAAAAAAAGUGUCUUUUGUAGUGCAAAAUGUGCCAAUUACUCACCAUUUUGACAUUAAAUGUCGAAAUAUACAAUUUUAAAAAAAUGUGGUAAUAUUUUUGUAAAUACUUCAAAUAUAUUUACAUCAAACGUAGUAAGAUUCAACGUAAACAUUCAUUUUUAUGUCAGACAUGUUAAUGUUAAGAUCCAAUAUAAAUAUCCAUGUUUAUGUCAUACGUCAUAUCAUUCAAAUAGAAAAAGUUAUCAUAGUAAGUUUAAUCAAAUUAACAAAGCACUACUAUCACUCUUAAUAAAAGAAAAAAGAUAGUCAAUAUUAGAGAAAUGGGAACUAAGAAAAAUUUGUUGAAUCCAACUUCAAAUAUGCAAAACAUUAAGACAUUCAAAAAAAUAAAUGUUGAAUAGAUUCUUCCUGUUUUUCACACAACAUACACAUAGAACAUAUAUAUGCAAAUCCCUAUGUUGAAUAUGUUGAUCUUUAGGAAGUCAUCAAUUAAAAACUUUUCAGAAUACUAAAAUUUUAGAAGAAAGAAUAUAUGGAUAGCAAAUGAGUUUUUAAUGACGUGGUAAAAAUUAACGAGGUUCCAAAGUAAUUAUUUAUAUAAUAUUAUUAUUUUUAUUUCUUUUCAGUUGCAUAAUCACAUUUGUUACUAAUAUAUAAAUCAACUCAAUUUUUCUCAAUCUAAAUAAUUUCAUUUUCUAUUUUUUUUCUCAUUCUUUCUUAUCGGUUAUGUAUUUUUAAUGACAUAAUUAACCUCAUGUAAUAACGAGGAUGACGGCUUAAUAAUUGUCAGUCACAAUUUUUCGGUAAAUAAAGGCAUUAUAGAUUAAAAACAUUGGUAUUAAUCCUUUUAUAAAAAAAAAAUUAAAUCAAAUAAAUUUUAAUGAUGUUCUCUAAGAUCUAACCGCUCCUUAUCCUCAACAAAAAAAUGACUUACGACACAAUACAAUAAUUUUUUUAUAAGCAUCAUCUUUAAUUCUCAUUCUCAGAUCAAUUCGAAAAUUGACAUUUAUUUUUUAUCAAAUUAUAUAUGUUUUUAAUGACUAGUGGGUAUGUUUUUUAAUCAUUUAUCAAUAUUAAUAUGUUUUUUUAUUAGUAAAUAAUAGAAUAAAAUAAAUUAGAAGAAUGUCCCAGUACCAACCUGCACCUAAUAUGUCUGAAGAAUAUAGUUUAUCAAAUACUUGGAUUUUAUGUCACCGAAUUGGUUUGGAGAGACUGAAAACACCAAGUUCAUGGUACUCCAAUAGAGGGACCAAAAGUGUAUGUGGUUGAAGUGUAGACCAAAAACAAAUAACCUCUGAAGUCAAGUCUUCUCCGCGUUUUCUUGUUUUCCACAUCCACCGUUAAAAUUUUAGAUUAUUGUUUCAAAUUUAUAAAAUCAUAAUUUUUAGAAUUAUAGGAAAAGUUAUAUAUUUAUCUCCAAUAUUAAAUUAUAGGAUUGAAAAAUAAGAAAUUGUUUGGAAUUUUAAUAAACCACUAGAAAAAUGUAUAAGUAAUUAUUUAAAUAAUAUAAAGUAUAGGAUUAAAUCAUUUAAAAUUAUUUUAGUUAAACAUGUUUAGUUUUUUUUAUCAACAAAUAAUAUACAAUAAAUUAAAAUAAAGUCUUUAAGGAAUACUCUAACUUAUAUAAAAAAUAGACUAAAAAUCCUUACAAGAAGUCCAAAAACCGAGUAAUCAGUAAAAAAGAUCUUAAAAACACCAUCAAAUCAAUCUAAUUGCUGUGUUUGCUGUGCCAAAACAGAAGCACCACAACAUAACCUUGUUGUGACUUGGUUUAUUGCAUGAUAUACGAGAGACUCCCAUCCAUCAUUGUGGUAACUCCUACUUAUUAAUUUGUCCUUAUAGAUUAAUUUAUGUGCUUUAUUCUGUUAUAAUUUUAUUUUAUGUAAAUCCUAAAUCCUAAAUCUUAAAUCCUAAUCUUAAUUGAUGUGCUUUAUUUUUUGUUGUUAUAAUUUUAUUUAUAUUUAUUUUUUUAUUCAUGCAUAUAUAUUGAGCAAACUUUCAAUUAAUUAUUUACAUUAAGUUAUUGAACUAUUUGAAAAAAAUAUUUUACAUUUGUUAAGAUGUACAGAUUAAAUCUAACUUUGGAAAAAAAUUAAACCAUUUAUUUUAUUCUUUUUAUAUACAUUUAUUUUAUCAACAAGUAAAGCAAAUAAAGUUUUAUAUAAAAAAAUUAUAAUCAAAUUCUUAUAUACAAAUUCUCUUAAUCUUCAUAAAAAACACAUAUCAGCCGGAUAAAACACUACUACAAAAAAAAUCAGUAUUAUGUACGGAUUUUUAUCAACGGAUAUGAGUCCGUAGGUAAAUUCAGCAUUACCUACGGAUAUUACCUACGAACAACAUUACCUACCGACAUUAUCCACAGAUUCUGAAUCCGUAGGUAAAUUCAACAUUACCUACCAACUAUUAUCCACGGAUCUUAUUACCUAUCAACUUUUACCUACGGAUCUCUAUUACUUACCAACUAUUACUCACGAAUCUCUAUUACGUACGAACUAUCACCCAUAAAUUUCUAUUACCUACCAACUAUUGUCAUAAUAAUUAUACACAUAAUAUUAAAAAUAUUAAUAUAAUAUGAAGAAUUAUAAAAUCAUAAUUCAUAUUCAUAAAAAAUAAUAAUCAUAACUAAUUUAUACAUAUUAUUAAUAUUAUAAAAUUAAUAAUAUUAAUAUAAUAUUAAUAAUAUUAAAUAAUAUUAAUAAUAUUAAUAAUAUUAAUAAUAUUUAAUCAUAUUUAAUCAUAUUAAUAAUAUUAAUAUAAUAUUAAUAAUAUUAAUAAUAUUAAUAAUUAUUUAAUAAUAUUCAUAAUAUUUUAUAAUAUUAAUAAUGUAUACCUAUAUAUAAAGGGGAUUCUCUCUUUAACUGCUCUCAAAUUCUUCCUAUUUUAUCCUUAUAUUUAUAUUUAGUUUUAUUUCAUUAUUUUGGGUAUUGCGUCAUUUCCUUCUUUUUAAAAAUAUUUGAAAUAAAUGGAGGAGCGGUUUUGAAUUAAAAGAGAUGGUUUAUAUUUUGAAAAUGAAUUGCUACAAAAAGAGGGAGUGUCUGUUAAGAUUAUGGGAGAGAAAUAAAUUUAAAAAUUAUUUGAAAUAAAUCGAGCAACUGUUUUGAAUUUAAAGAGAUAAUUUAUUUUGAAAAUUAACUGCAUAAUGAGAGGAGUGUCUGUUUGAUGAGAGAGAAAUAAAUAUUAGGAAAGGUGAGUAAUGAGUAGUGGCCGAACGUGAGCAAUUUUGAAAAUUCUUGAGUAUAUUGACAUUUUGUCAUUUUCCAUUAUUACUGAGCGGUUACAUAGGAGUAGUGGGUUUCAGGAGUUUUCACCGGUUACAUCCACUUCAUUUUCUCUUUUAUAUUUCGACUCCAAAGAAAAAAAUUCUCAUAAAUUUUGACACAUCUUGAACCCUCUUCCUUCACGCUCCGUGUUCUUCUCCUACUCUCACCCAUCUCACGUCCACUACAUCCAUUCCGCCUUUUCAUCGGCCUCCACUCUUUCAAAAUGCUCUCUAAGCACAAAAGAAGUCUAUAUAAUUUUGAUUAUUUAAUUGUUGGAAGAGCAAGUGGAGACGGAAGAAGUAGAAAAUGGAUAAGCUGAUCUAGGUGAAGGAGAAUCAACUAUUCUUCCCAAUCUUUUGCGACCCCUUUCACUAAUCUCAACUAGGUUGAUUCUGAUCUCGCUUGCUUGAACCCUCCAGGAGCAGGUUUCACUUUUAUUCUUUUUUUUCUCAUUCUACUAUAUUCCUUCAUCUUUACUCCCUUUAAUUGGGGAAAAAUGAUUAUUAACGUAACACUAAUUUGUUUGUUUGUUUAUUCAUGUGUUUUGUUUGAGUUUUGGUGGGAUUUUUUUUUUUCAGUGUAUGCAAGGUAAAACAAUUAUUUUGAUAUUUAGUAGUUUUUUUUUGGAUGAGUUUAGAGAGAAUGUCUCCAUUAGAACUGUAAUCACUUUUGUUGUCAUAUUAAAUCAUUAUUAUUAUCUUAUUUUAUAUUUAGUAUUAGAUCAAUCAUGGGGUUUCACUUAUUCAUAUAGUUGUUUUUUCAAUAAUGUUUGCAUAAGUGUUUUUUCUUUUAUAGUAAUGUAAUUGUAUAUCUGGAAAAUUAUGUUUGAUUGUAAUUCACCAUUAAUUAGUAUCUUUUGUCUUCCAGGUGUUAGGCAUGAUGGUUGAUAUUUCUAUAUAUUCGAUGUACAAUUUGGAAACAAAGCCUCACAAGGAAACUUCCUGCUUCUAAAACACGGGCUACUAAUGAUGAAGCAUCUGAAGAACCGGUGAUUGACCAUUCUAACAAUGUUGAGAAAAAAAAAUCUAACAAUGUUGAGACCCUCACAAAGUAGUGUUAACAAUGAGGCACCAUCAACCACUGUUGAUUAAUGUAUUUUCAUAUUCGUGGAAUGUUUGGAAAUAAAAGUAUUCCACAAUAAUAGUAUUCUUUUCUUUUAAUUCUCAUGAUUUUGAAUCUCAUACUUUUUUGUUAAUAUUGGAAAAAAGUUGAAUUUCCAUGUUAUUCUAAAGUUUGCAGAAAAUAUUGUUGGCUAACUCUGUCUCAUCGGAUUUUAUAUUUUAUUUUAUUUUAUUCUCGACUACAAUUUUUAGUUUUUGUUUAUAUUAAUUUUAUAACAAUAAAAUAUAAAGAGAUUAUAUCAGUUUUAGUUAUGCAAAGACUAAUAUUUAUUUAAUUAUUAAAGAGUGUAUUUAGGAUAGCAAAAUGUGAAAAAAAUUGAAUAAUAACAAUUAGGACAUAUAUAAUAAUUUAAAGAAAUAUUAUAUAACUAUUCCUAAUUAAUUUUAUAUAAAUAAUCCUAAUUAAUUUAUUUUACAUUCAAUUAUUUUUAAUUUUUAAAAGAUUAAUGUGGUAUAAACAUUCAAAAUCUUAACCAUGGAAGAUGAAAAAUAUAUAAGAAAAGAAAAAAAAUCAUAAAAUUAGUUAAUAGUUUUACAAUUUUAAUAUAUUUUUUUAAAGAAAUUAUUAUAAAAUUAAGCACUUUUAAUUUAUAACAAUUUAUUAUUUAAUUUUAAUAUAUUUUAAUUUUAGUGUUAUUUAUAUUUUAACAAUCUUAUGUUUGCCACUUGAAUUUAAUACAGAAAUACCGUUUAAAUUAUUAUUAACUAACUUAGUUUUUUUUACUGUAAUUUUAUUAAAAAAUAGUAUUAAAAUAUUAUAUAACCUUAUUUACAAAAUAAAUUAUUUAGUUAUUUUAAAAUAAUGAAAAAUUAUUUGAUUGUUUAUUUUAAAUUAAAUAAAUAAAUUAUAUUUUAUUUACAUAAAGAUUUUUUUGUAUAAAUAUAAUACUAUUUAAAUAAAAUUUUAUUUUUUUUAAACAAAUAAUUGUAUAUACAGUUUUUUUUAUUAAAAUUUCAAGUAAAUCCAAUCUGCUUAAAUGAAUCUUUCGCAUAUCUUUUCAUAUCUUUAUUAUAUUAAAAAAUAUAUAAUUUUAAUAUGUUAAUUUUAAAAUUUAAUUGUUUUAUGUUUUCGUAUUUUUAUUAUAUUAAAGUACAUAUAACUUUACUAUGUUAUUUUUAUAAUUUAAUUUUUUUAUGUUUUCAUAUUUUUAUUAUAUUAAAGUAUAUGUAACUUUAAUAUAUGUUAUUUAUACUUCUAUACCUAUAUAGGGAUUCCCCACUUAACUGACAUUUUAUUUUAUUUCAAUUUUAUCUUUAUAUUUUUAUUUUAUUUUAUUAUUUUAUAAAUAUAUGAUCGAAGAUAUUUUUGUGAGUAGUUUUAAUUUUAUAUCUUAAAGUGAGACUAACAGAAUAGAUAAAAUUAUUUUUAAAUUCAAAAUUAAACAUUGCAAAGUGAGACUUGCUUAGGAGCAUUGCACAAUUGCAUCUUUUUUCGUUCAUCUACAUUUUUAUCCCCAUGAAACGUUUUUUUCGUUUUCAGAAGUUAUAUUAUCAUUCCAAAACCACGAAAUCAACCAAUACGUAUUGUUUUUCAAUUAUAAAAUAGAAGAUGGAUAUGCAAUGUGUGAAUUUACUUUUUUUUUUUAAUGCAAUGUGUGAAUUUACUCUUUUUUUUAAAAUUUAUUUAUGCAUAUGGGUGCACUGUCCAUUCUUGAAUUUUCCAAAGAUUGAAAAUACAAAGAGAGGAUAGGAAGAGAAUACAGGUGUUGCAGUUGAAUGAAGAUAUCAACACAAAGCAUUUACACAUUUAUCUACACAAACAUGUAUUUAUUAAUAUAUGUAUAUUGCAUAUAUAUAUAUAUAUAUAUAUAUGUCUGUGUGUAUUUUGCAAUUUAUUCAUAAUUGACAUUCUUUAGUAGGAAUAAAAUUUGUAAAACAAUGGAACACUUAGAAGGAUGAUCGAACACUCGCAUUGAUUACGCCAAUUAACACCAAAGUAUAAUGAUUUUACAUAAUGAUGAUGAUAAUGAUAUUUUUUAUUCAUAAUAUACUAUAAAUUUAUAUUGUUAAUAUAAGUGUGUAAAUAAUAACAUUAUUUAUUUGAAUUUUUAAUAUUAAACAUAUAUAUAUAUAUAAAUGAUAAAAAUAAAAAAUGCGGAUACACAGGCGUGAGAGCACCUGUGUGCCCGCUAGUAUUUUAUAAUAUUAAUAAUAUUAAUAAUAAUAGGAAUAUUUAAUAAUAUUAAGAAUAUUUAAUAAUAUUUAAUAAUAUUAAUAAUAUUAAUAAUAAUGAUGAUAUUAAAUAUAUGAAGAAUAUUAUUAAUUUUUAUUUUAUUAAUUAAUAAUAUUGAUAAUUAUACUAAUAAGUAUAAUAAUAAUCAUAACUUGAUAAUAAAACUUGAUUGGUGUAAUGGGUAAAACUUUUAUGAACAUUUUUCAAGGGACUUGACUUUUAAUUCUAACAUUAAUUAUAAUUCUCAAUAAUAAUCAUAAAAUUUGGAAAAAAAAUAAUAUUUGUUUUAAAAAUAAAGUAUACUUUGAGUCAGUGGGUGGGUUCUUUCUAUAAACUUUUCACUAAUUAUUUCUUCUGUAGACUUUUUGCUGAUAAAAAAAUUUGUCUCUAUGUGAUUUUUUUUUAUAAGUAAAGUUAUCUCUAUGUACAUACUUAAUUGUGGUAGGGAUACUUAGUUGUUGUAUUAUUUGUGACCUUUUAUUUAAUAAUGCUGUCAAGAUGUUGCAAGUGGGGAUUGGUAUUGAACUUGAAUUAUUUGUUUUAUNNNNNNNNNNNNNNNNNNNNNNNNNNNNNNNNNNNNNNNNNNNNNNNNNNNNNNNNNNNNNNNNNNNNNNNNNNNNNNNNNNNNNNNNNNNNNNNNNNNNAUGAUCGUCUCUUUUAUACUGACGAUACUUUUUUCACACUCCACAACCGUCGUGUCUUAUAUGAUGAUGCAGAAAACCCCAUCGUCACUCUAUACAAUAAGGUUUGGUUGCUCAUGCAUCUAGCAAUACUCAUUCUCAAGUUAAUAAGUUUUAUUACUUUAAUAUUUUCCCACCUACAAAACUAAUCUCUGCUUAAAUUUUUCAUUCUAGCCACUAACCUAACCAUGGUGUUAUUAUUCUCAAUUUUUAUGCAGAUGGUGUCGUUGCAUGGCAGAUGCAAAGUUUUCAGGGGUGAAAGCACUGAUUCAUCUGAAUUGCUAUUUUUGGUGAAGAAAAUCGCGAAAUCACCUGGGAUUACUAAAUUAAACGUGUUCCUCGCAAACAACCAAGGCAAAAAGAACAAAAAAAGUGACUUUAGAGUGAUCAUUUUUGGAAGUAAAAGGUCGUGCACUGUUUAUGCCGGUGAAUCUCCUAACAUCGUAGCCAAAGUAUGAGUACUGAGUUAGUAUAUCUUUCUAUUUAUAUUGGUAAUUCUUUGUUUUUUUAAUAAGUAGUAGAAUUUAAAUAUAUUAUGAUAAUUAUAUAUGUAUGUUUCUCUCUAUGUAGAUGGAGAAUAAUGGUGGCUUCAAUGUCUUGGUCAAUCCCAAUGUGGACUACGCAUUCAUAGUAGCGCUACUUAUGAUUGUUAAGGACAUGAAUUGUUGUGAUGAGCCCCUGAAUACUACAAAUAAAACUAUUAGUGCCCUAAAAAUAAUUUCAUCUUUAUCAAGCAGCUAAAUAAAUAUAUUGUAUAAGAAAAUAUAAGUAAAAGUGAGGAAAUAAAUUUGGAGUCCUCCCUAAUGUACUUAUAUAGAUGUCUGUUGUAUUAUGUUGUAUAUGGCUAUUUCUUUAUCUUUUAUUAUAUCAAUGACAGCAAAGUUAAUGGUACCUUAUAUAGAUCCGAAAUGUGUGGAGAAGUUUUUUUUACCUUAUCUCUUGUUUUUCUUUAUCAGCAAUGAAUAAAUAAAAUAAAAGGGAUACUUCAGAGGUAUCCCAACUCAUAUACAAAAACCAGAGGUGGACUUCUUAUAUCAUCCACAAAUCACAAAAGAAACCCUCCUUUAUGGUUGGAGCAUGGCAACCUUAAAGUAACAACAUUCAACUAUACCAAUACACCCAGAAUCGAGGCCACCUACAUUCACCUCCAUACACCUCGCCACGCGUCGAGCUACCCAUGCACGUUGCAAAACGUAGGCGACCACCGACUACGCACACAUGGAGAUACCUUAUCUCUUGUAAUAACAGAACCCAAACGACACAAUUUUGUAGGUGAAACAAAAAAAACCAUUCAUGGCUAGGAAAAACUUAUCUUAAAGUUAGUUAUAUCAACAAUUACCAAGUUGAUAUGUUAUGUAAAUAACUUACGAAUUAUUCUUUGAAUAAUAACUUAGUUAUAGGAAAGUUAUCAUUGAAUAAAUUUGUGAAUAACUUAUUUAAGGAUUCAUAUUUAUAAUAUACUUACGAACUUAUUCAUGGAUAAUUUAUUUAUAUAUGUUGAUAACUUAUUCAUAGAUAAAUGCAUGGAUAAUUUAUCUAUAGAAUCACUAGUGCAAAAUGAAGAAAAGGAUACGCUUUAUUUAGUACGGCUUUUGCACGACCCGUUUUCGUAAAAAACGCGGUGGCAUUUUUUAAAUUAUUUUGAUUUACGAAUGCGGCUAUUUGUAUAACCGGACUUGUAAAUCAAAGCGCUUGAUUUACAAAUGCGGCUAUUUGUAUAGCCGCACUUGUAAAUCAAAGCGCUUGAUUUACGAAUGCGGCUAUUUGUAUAGCCGCAUUCGUAAAUCCUUUUUUACCCUAAAUUUUGAAGCGCGCCACACACAAUUUCAAACCUUCUGCUACACCUGCAUUCCAUUUGUGCAAUGUAAGUUUCUUGAACUCUCUUUCUUCCUCUUCAUCUUCACAAAUAUAUGCAUAAAUGUUUUCGUUUUUCUUAUAUAUGUUUUUUUCCUUGCAUUGGUGGUCUCGAAGCACUGUUUCGUUGGCUGGCAUUCGUUUUUCUUACAUUGUUUGGUUUCUUGCAUUGCUCAGUACUCUUUCAUUGUCUUCGUGGUUUCUUGUGAAUUUUUUGGUUUGCUCUGUUGCUGCUUCCCUGUCUGCCGUCGCUUCUGCUGCUGCCACCGUUGUUGGCGCUCCCGUGACUCUUCAUCAACGUUGCCUUCACAGAAGAUUGACGAUGUUUUAAAAUUUUUAAUUUUUUUUAAUGAUUUGGCAUAUACAAGUGCGGUUAAAGCAAAUAACCGCACUUGUAAAUGGUAUUUAUAAAUGCGGCUAUAUAGCCGCAUUUAUAUUUCUUGAUUUACAAGUGCGUGUUGAUCAAAUGCAGCUUUAUAAAUUCGAAAUAACCGCAUUUGUUUUAUGUUUCUGCACUAGUGAAUUUCUUUUAGCUAAAUCAUGCAUUAACUUUUUUUUAUGAAUAAAUCCAUAAGAAAUAAUAAGAAUAUUUUUCGUCUUCCAAGUCAUGCCCCUCUAUACUUGUAUAGUCACAAAUGUGAAAGAAAUUUUAUCUCAAUAUUUAAAUAUCAUAUCUCAAAUAUUCAACGUUUAGUUCAAACAUCCAUAUGCAACACACAGAAAAAAAAUGAAUUUAAGGGAGAUUUAUUUUUACAUUAUUCAUGCUUAAAACCUCUAUUAAGUCAUUUAUCCAGGGUUGCAGUUUCCCCUCCUAAACCAUUCCUGGGAAACGUGUUUCCCGGAGUUCUUUUAAACCUUAGGAAAAGUCUUUCAGAACCCUUGUUCAUGGGUUUAAGAACCUCUGUAAAAUAUUAUGAGUUUUCAAAACCUUCGUAAAAUAUCAUGAGUUUCAAAAUUUCCGUAAAAUGACUUGUCGUUUAAUAUAACCUUCAACCCAUUUGUCAUCAUCUUUAACAAUUCUCUUGACUUCUCUCUUCCACUUUAGACACUCUCCAACACAUGCUCAAUGGCCACAGACGACAAUCCUAGCAAGGAAUCACAAUUUAGCCAAACUUAUGUCUAUUAGAUCUAAGGAGAAGAAACACUAAAUAAGGCACUCUCUUCUUCGAACUCCAAUAUUGUUCUUCUCCAACUUGGGUCACAAGCCACUGUUAUCUAGCUCGACAUUAACUAGAGUUUAUCACUGUUUUAUAUAUCCUAAAUAAUUGUAUUAUCUAUCAGAUGUGGGCUUCAAAACCAUGUGUGUUUUGGGCUAACGAUUGCAAGAACAUAUUGCGAGAAGAAAUUAACUUUAUUACUUCUCACUUUUACUGGGAAUUAAUUAUUAGAUGUAUUUUAAAAUAAAGGCCUUAAUUUAAAAUAUUUCAAUAUUAUGAGAAUUAAAUAUUAACAAUUAUAACUAAAACUAAAAUUGCACAUAAAAUAUACCUACAUCAAAAGUUAAAACAAAAUAAGUUAGAUUUUUUUAAGUAUGAGCUCAUAACAAAAAAGAAACUAGGAAUUAUAUAAACCAACUAAUCAAUCAUAAAAUAUAUGCAAAUAUUGUUGAAAUACUUAUUAUCCAAGAUUAGUUGUUCAAAUACUUAUCAUCCAAGGUUAUUUUGUAGAGUUUUAAAAUAAAUUUUUGAAACUUUAGAAAACUUAUUUGGAAUGUAAAGUUACACUUUCAAAAUUUUAGAGAAUUUAGUUAUAAAGUAUAUAAAAUAUAUUUAAACUAUGUAGUUUUUAAUUAUUUAUUUAUAAAUAGAUUUAAUUAUAUUUAUUUAUUGAAGUUUGAAAAAUCUGGAGUGUUUUAUUGAUGUUCUACAAUAAAUCUUUGAAAUUUAACGAAGGUUAAAAAACCUCUGUUAUUUUGUUGAGAUUUUAGAAUAAACCUUUGAAACUUAACAAAGGUUAAAAUGACUUUAAUCUGCUGAGGUUGUAGAAUAAACCUUUGGAACUUACUGAAAGUUAAAAAAAAAACUUUUGUUAUUUUGCUGAGGUUUUAGAAUAAACAUUUGAAAUUUAAUGAAUGUUAAAAAAACCUCCGUUAUUUUGGUGAGAUUUUAGAAUAAACCUUUGGAAUUUAAACAAGGUUAAAAAAGAACCUCUAUUAUAUUGUUGGGGUUUUAAAAUAAACCUUUGAAAUUUAAUGAAAGUUAAAAUCACCUUCGUUAUUUUGCUGGUGUUUUAGACUAACAUUUGUUUUUUUUUUAUCAGCAAAGAAAAAAUAAAAUAAAAAGAGACACUUCAGGGAUGUCUCAACCCUUAUACAAAACCCCAAAUUACAAGAUCCUAGAACCCUACCAACUAAGGAUCCGACAAACAUUGUACUACAUAUCAAGGUAUAAAACCAAACCAAGACAUAGAAACCCACCAGAUACAGUUGUCUCACCCCACCAAAUCGGUCACACCCUCAAAUAAAGACAUGCAUCCAACAACAAAACAAGAUCAUUGUCAUCAAGCUGAAGGACCUUACCCAAGAGACAAACUCAAAGAUACAAGACACAUCAUCCAACAACUAAACCAUAACUUUGUAUCAGACUGAGUUGUACCAAAAACCCAAGUACUAACAACGACAAACAGACCCUUAUGAGAAGAGAACAUAAGCCAAUUAUACCCUACAAUGUACACAAAACAACCUCCCAAACUGGCCACAGAAGUAACCAGAAAACGCCUCAAAUCCUUUUGCCACAAUUCAAACACCAUUAAGAUACAACACCAAACCGAAAAGCAUACAACAUAAACACUUCCUUUACCGCAGCACAGAGCAGAAUCAUCAGUCCGACCCUGCCAGAUAGGAAAUACCAAAACAACUUGCACAACCACUCAAAGCUUUCCAAGCCUCAGUCUAGCCUUUCAUAUAGGAGUUACUGAACGAACCUGCGCAAACCACACCACAACUACCAAAACUAGGAAAGAACGUUAGUUAAAAACACAAAUAAUCAGACUUUCAAAACCAGUCUGAGUAAGAGAAUGCAACCGAUUUUUCUUUUACUGUGACCCAAGACCAAGUCUUCCUUUGUGCCACGGUAAAUACCUCCACUAGAUCCACCCGCCCAUUCUCAAACACAACCCUAUUCUUGUGAUUCCAAAUUUCACUCACAAAACCUACCCAAAUACCCACCAGCACUUGGUAACUGCGUGGUUCAGACCAAGAGGUUUGAACAUCCUAAAGUGCAUUUGUGCAUCACAAUGUAGCACCAAAGGGAAACCCAGCCACGUGAGACACAUACCCCAAAUUCUCCAAGAAAUCUUACACUCAAAAAUUAAAAAUGAAGGUUAAAAAACCUUCGUUAAUUAAAUCACAUCCUAGGGUUAUAUUAACCUCCAUUAAAACUCUUUUUUCUUGUAGUGACAACAUUUAACUUGAAACUAUAUUUUAACUGAAAACUGUAUAAAUUACUAAAUAUUAUAACUCUAAAAAUUCUUAGUGUGGUGCCAAAUACCAACAAAAAAAAUUAUUCUUCAUUCAUCAUUAACUAUUUCUUUCUAUGUAGAUAAAUCAUAUCAUGAGCUACAACCCUAAAGUUGCAUCAUUUGCUUCUUGGAAAGUUGUUUGGUUUAUUUGUUCCAACCAGUUCACAUAGAAGGAGUAUACCUUGUCUUUUCUAUAUGAUGUUGGUCUUUUUUUGCGUUUGGUUUUGAAGCUUAUAGAGAAUGAAAAAAAUAAGCAAUUAAACUAAUUAAUCUAAGUGAGUGUGUGCAUCUUAAAUCUUAAACAGUUUGAGAGUCACUGAUUAAUUGAUAAUUGUGGUUGUUUGAUUUUUUAUUUUAUGUUACAUCAUAGAAGAACAUGAAAAUGAUUAAGACAUUUGUAUUAGAAACUCAAGACCAAAUAGCCAACCUUUAUUUAAAUUCAUUAUAUCUUUGUGACAACCCUUUCUGUGUCAAGAAUAUUUUUGUUAUUAUUAUUGUAUCCUCAACCUUAAUUGAUAUAUUUUUCUACCUAUUGACAUGUUUAAGGAAUGAGAAUAUAGCAAUUUAUAUAUAAAGAAAAGGUGAUGGUUGGCUUUAGUUGUUUUAAAGUUUAAAAAAAUUAUUUGGUUGGAAAAAGGAAUAAUUUAUUUCUAUUAUCAUUGAUUGAAAACAAAAUUAAUCUAUAAUACAAAUGGAAGACACUCCUAGGGUAAGUUCUAAAAAAAUCAAAAAGAAAAAAAAAUUCAAAUUUUAACCCUAAAUAGAAAUCUGAAAUGCAUUUUGGGAGUGACAAGUGACACGCUGUAGAGCUUACACGUGACACAAAACUCUCAUUUUAAAAACCAUCAUCAUGUUUCCCUCACAUUUCAAACUCUCAUUUACUUUCAUUUUUCGUUACCAUCACCAUGUUUCCCUCUCAUUUCAAACUCUCAUUUACUUCAUUUUUCGUUUCUCUCUCUUUGAUUUACUUUGACCUCUGUUUUUAUUCUUUCAUUUCCUCGCCAUUUUUGUUUCUCACUUUCAUUUCUUUGAUUUCUUCUUCCUUAGGUUUGCUCAUUCAUUUUUGUCUUAAGAACAAGUUAGUCUUCAUCCUUUCUUUUUCCUUUUCUUCCUUUUUGGGUUUUUUAUUUGGGGAUUUUGUAUUUUGAUGUUUUUGCCUAUUGUCUUCAUCUCUUUUACAAUUAUUUUUACUUCAUUGUUCUUGAUAUUGUUGUUUCUCUAUUUGUUACGUUUUUCACACUAAAAAUGAUUUUUUUUUUUAGUUUUCUUAUGAAAAAUCCUUGUUUUUGAUGUUUCUGCCAAUUCUCCUCGUCUAUUUUUCGUUUUCUUUGCUUCAAUGUUCUUCAUAUUCUUGGUUCUUUGUUUGCUAUGUUUUUCGCACAAUAAUUUUUUAUUUUUUUUUCUUAGGAAAGUUCCUUGCUUUUGAUGUUUUUGCUGAUUGUCUUCAUAUUUUUUUACGUUUUUUUUCUUCAUUGUUCUUGAUAUUCUAGCUUAUCUAUUUGUUACAUUUUUUGCACCAUAAAAAUGAUUUUUUUCAGUUGUCUUAUGAAAGAUCCUUGCUUUUGAUGUUUCUGCCGAUUCUCUUCAUCUGUUUUUCAGUUUCUUUACUUCAGUGUUCUUCAUACUCUUGUUUAUUUGUUAGUUACGUUUUUCGCACCAUAAAAAUGAUUUCUUUUGGGUUUUGUUAUGAAAGUUCCUUGCUUUUAAUGUUUUUGCAGAUUCUCUUCAUCUCUUUUACAGUUUCUUUGUUUCAUUUUUUUUGAUAUUCUUGCUUCUUUAUUUGUUACGUUUUUUGCACCAUAAAAAUGAUUUUUUUUUUCCGUUUUCUUAUGAAAGAUCCUUGCUUUUGAUGUUUCUGCCGAUCCGAUUCUCUUCAUCUGUUUUUCGAUUUCUUUGCUUUAGUGUUCUUCAUAUUCCUAGUUCUUUGUUUGUUACAUUUUUCGCACCAUAAAAGUGAUUUCUUUUGGAAUUUGUUAUGAAAGUUCCUUGCUUUUAAUGUUUCUGCAGAUUCUCUUCAUCUCUUUUACAGUUUCUUUGCUUCAGUGUUCUUCAUAUUGGUUCUUCUCUAUUUGUUACGUUUUUUGGCCGAUAAAAAUGAUUUGCUUCAGUGUUCUUUGCUCCAUUCUUUUAAAUCUUUUUGGUUCUCUAUUUUUAGGGCUCAUCUUGCUUUAUCUUUUCACAAUAUUAUGUUCAUCUCUUUCACAACUAAUUUGGACUUCUGAUCCAACUUUCGAAGUGUUUUUUUAAUAUGUUUAUGUUUAUGGUUCCAUCAUUAAUUACAUGCAAAUUUUUUUGUAGAAGAUUUUGCAUCAAAAUCACAGAGCACCUAAAAAAGGUAAUGCAAGCAACAAAUUAGGUGCUUUUGGGCUGCUACAAAAUCUGAGAAUUUGGGAAGAAGGUAAUCAAAUUUGAAAUUCAAAUUUCAAAUAUGAAUUGAAUUUGUCUCCCCAUUUAUAUGUUGUUGUUUGUGAAUCACUACCUAUAUUAAAGUGUAGUGUAUGAUAUUUUGGAAGAGAUCAUAGUGGUUCAAUCAUUUUUUGUUAUACUUGGUUGCUACUUACAAAAAUUGGCAAAGGAAGGAAGGGAAAAAAAUUGUUGACCAUGAGAUUUUCUAUGCUAGGUCUUACCCUUUGGAAUCAUAACUGGCAAGGUUGGAUCGGAAGUAAAAUGUUUGAGAACCGAAACGAACAAUCACAAGAAUCAAAAGUGAGGUAAACUACAUUAUUUAUUACAACUCUUUUAAGAAUCCAUGUUUUAAGAGGAUAAAUGUGAGGAAUGCAAAAUCUCUAUGGUGCUACAAUUGGAAUGCAACAUAUGAAAGUUUAUUGGGUGGCAACAAGAGGGUCUGUAUGACUAACCUAUACAAGAUUGUAGCAGUGUAAGUUGGUUUGGUCAUUACAAUAAUUAUAGUUCGUUCUUUCCUAUGAAGGAAGAGGAAAAUUUGACAUACUGUAGUUAAUGACUUUAUAUAUCUGUUGUAACUUCAUUUUUCAGUUCACAAUGACAAGGAAUUUUAUUGUAAUUUUUUCAUAAAUUUUAUAUUUGUUGGAUUGAUACUGGAUGAAACAAAUUUGUAUGUAAAUACACAUUUUGUAUAGUAUGAUCAAUUUCCACCCUUGAUGCAAGUCUGUAUCUCUGUAAAUUUUGUUUAAUUCAAUAGACAUGAAAAUUUGAAUUUGUAAAGCAUCACUGUUAAAUGCAUUUUGAAACUCUACAAUACAUAAAUGUGCAAUUCCAAUUUUACUUAAUUAUUGUACUUCAGAUAAAGUUAUUUUCAUAAUCUGCACAUAAUAAAAUUUCUAAAUUAUUUAAAAUCCUAAAUAAACACAAAUCCUAACUUAUUUCAUAAACAUGACUGAUGAAACACUAUAAACCACGAUAUUCAAAUGGCUGUUUAAGCCAAUUUUUUUGUGAUAAUUUUGUGGCAUGAUAUUUACAAAAAGAAUAAAUCCCACUAAAAAAGCGUAACUAAAUAAUAAAAUGGAAUGUUUUCAUGAUUUAAAUAAAAGGACAAUAUUUUUAGAAAUGUAACUUACAAAAUAUUAUAGAUUAUGGGUCAAAUAUGAUUUAUUCAUGCUUUAUUUAACCAAACUCACAUAAUUAAAUUUAACUGGAUAACGUUUUUAGUUAUUAAUAUAAACCUAGCAAAGUGCAAAACGUGCGUAAGCAAGUGUACCCUGUGAGCAAUUAUGAAGCAAAAUCAAGCUAUAUAUAUAGUAAGUAUAUCCGUACCAUAUUCCAUAUAGAUAAAGGCUUUGCAGAAUGCAUGCAGAUACCCCAUUCCUUACCUGCUAUUUUUCUCUAUAGUGGCAUUAGUUGUUGGGAAAAAACGGGUAAUUUUUCCACUAAAACAAAACCCUAAUAGAGCUACCCGACAAAUAAUAUUGAAUAAAUAAAGCGGAAUAAUAAAAGAGAUAAAGAGGAAAGAACACACCCGAAAAUUGUUAACGAAGUUCGGCCUGUUUAGCCUAAUCUCCGAGCACAGCAAAAACAGCUCACUUUUAUUACUAUGAGAGAAGAUAUUACAAAUUGGGAUAUUUAACAGUGAAGGAGGGGAUGUUAAUAUAUAAUCCUCAAACCUCCUUCCCAAACAAUGAACCCACCGAUGUGGAACUUGGGAUUAAGCCAAAAUCAACAAAUCUCCACCUUGGCUUAAUUUCAAGUCCCACCUAAAACAAAUCUUCUCAAAACAUAACAAAAACAAAACUUUACAGUGCUUCAAAUUUGCGCCUCUGGGCGCCAACUUCAAAUGUGCAAGAAANNNNNNNNNNNNNNNNNNNNNNNNNNNNNNNNNNNNNNNNNNNNNNNNNNNNNNNNNNNNNNNNNNNNNNNNNNNNNNNNNNNNNNNNNNNNNNNNNNNNNNNNNNNNNNNNNNNNNNNNNNNNNNNNNNNNNNNNNNNAUUUACAUAAAAUUCAAACAAAUGUUCAAAAGAAAAUAAAAUAUUUUCUUCAUCCAACUUCUCACUUAGGAGCUCUAUCACCUGUAACAUCAUAUGCUCCCGUGUAAAAUACACGAUCAUGGGGGGAAAGUUGUACCCAAAUUAAAAAAGAAGGUUGAAGUUUCCAUCAAAAACAAGGUAAAGUACAGUAAAAUUUAAGUAUCCCUUAAAUAAGUUAUAAUUGAUAUGGAUUAGUCUAACCAUGCCAUUAAACCGAUGGCUAAGUAGUGACUACUUGGUCAAUUAUCUCACUUUAUUUAAUUAACCAAGGCAUCAUAACUUUAAGUCACUACAAGAAAACAAGCAAUUAGCUUCCAAAUUUUUGCGUAGGCCAUUUACGGACGCUACUAUCGUCUGCUAAAAUGGCAAAAAAUCCACGCAACAAUGAUAUUCGACGCAAAACGGACACAUUUAUGGAUUUAAUUUUUUGUAAAAAAGUCCAGACGUAAAACGCACGCACUUAUGCAUAUGCGUCCGCUACAGUCCACUCCAGUUUAUAUUUUAAGAUUUUAAAAUUAUUUAUUUAAAGUAUAACAUUAUAAGAAAUAUUUUAAUAUUUAAUUUUUUAUUGUAUUUAUUUUAAAAUUAUUUCUUUAAUAUUAUAAUAAAUUAUUUAAUUUAUAAAUUUGUAAUAUAAAUUAGUUAAAUUAAAUUUAUUAAAUUAAUUAAGUGUUUGAUUUAAAAUUAAUUGAGUAAAAGAAAAGAUGUAUUUAAAUUAUUUAAAUGUUAUAUAAAAUAUUUUAUUAUUUUAAAGAUUAUUUAUUUUAAAUUUAUUUGAUUUAUAUAUUGUCAUAUAUAAAUUAAACAAUAUAGAUUAUUAUUUGUCAUAUAUUUUAAAAUAACUUUUUGUUGUAUAAAUGAAAUAAAUUAUUUUUGUUGUAUAAAUUGAAUUUAAUUGUUUUGUAUAAAUUAAAGAAUUUUUUUUUUAUAAAUUAUAUACAGUUGUUUAUACAUUAAAUUUAUUUAUUUGUUGUAUAAAUUUAAAAUAAAAUGAAUUAAAUUUUUGAAAGUUUUAAUAUAAUUUUUAUUAAAUUAUAUUUAAGAAAAUUUUCACGUGCCCCACAUUAAUAAUAAGUGUAAUAAAAAUCAUAAUAUGACAAAAAAACUUGUCUGGUGUAGUGGUUAAAGCUUCUUUAAUCAGUGAAAGAUUUGGGUUUGAGACUGGUGUAGUGGUCUAAAAAAUAAUUGUGAAGGUAAAAAUGACAUUAUUAUACUGAAGUUUGUGACGGUUAUUAAUAAUCGUUAUAUUAAUAACCGCUAUAUUAUUAAGUUUGUUUAAUGGUUAUAAUUUUAUGUCGAACUAGUAUGUUGUUAAUAAUAGUGAUAAAUAAUAAUAAUUAUACUUCUCUAUGAGCAUUAAAUUGUUUAAACAUUGUGUUUUAUAAAGAAAACGUUGACAAACUAUUGAUUAAGGAAAUAAUUUUUAGAUAUUAGUAGUAAUAAAUAAUGUAGAGAUAAAUUUUAUAAAUUUUAUAAAAUUAUACAAAUUAUAUACAUGUUGUAUUGGUUUAGUUUUUUUUAUCAGUAAAAAAAAAAAUAUCAAUCAUUUAAGGGGUGAUCUAAACCGUAUAUAUAUCAACUGCUCUAUUCAAGAGAAAGACCCAAUAACCUUGUCAAAAUCAGCAAAUUCAAUAACCUUGUCAAAAUCAGCAAAUUCAAAACCAGCGAAAGUGCCUAAAAAACAAUACCUUCAAUCCUUCAUACACAACCAAAAACUAACAUAGACUUUAAAUUGACAGCAAAAAAGUCAACAUAUCAAGACACCAAUUAGAAAAAAAAAAAAACAAGCAGAAACAUAUUAAGAAGUAAUCUAAGACCAAACCUUUAAUUGAGCCAAAAAAAGAUUUCAGAAUGAUUAAUCGCUCUGCCCUUAAAAAUUGUGAUUAUUCUUGUGCCUUCAAAUCUCGCCAAUGAUUGCAACCCAAACGUCGUUUACAUACCCUAGAACAUUACAUAAGAUAAAGUGUAAGAAAUAUGAACCAAAAUCAAUAUGAUCUACCGACGUCAUCCCAAGCCAAGCAUAACACUGAUUCCAAACUACCCAUCUAUUCUGCAUUCAAAAAACAAGUGCCUUGUAGUCUCAACUUCUUCCCGGCACAAACAACACGAGGAACAAUAAACUGUAACCCCACGCCUAACUAGAUUGGUCUUAGAAGCAAUCUAAUUACCCAACACCCUCCAAGCAAUAAAGAGAAGCAGAAGGUAACGCUUUAAUCUUCCAAAAACCUUCAAACAAGGGCGAACCUUCACUGAUGCAAGACUUCCUUAAAAUACUGUAGGUCAAACUGAUUGAGUAUCCCAAAUUCGCGUCAUCCUUCCACACCCAACUAACUUCCUUACCUAAGACAAGACGCGAUCCUUGAAGAUCCUGCAUAAGCUGAAAUUCUUGAGCCUUUUCCCAAUAGAACAAGCCUCUCCUACACUUAAGAAUCCAAUUCCAAGAGUCAGAGGCCCACUCCCCAAAAAAAUUCAAGCAAGCGUCAUUGCAAAUGCUUAAGUAGCACACUCUUGCAAACCUACUCUUCAAAGCUUCAGAACCCAACCACACAUCAUCCCAAAACAAAAUAUUAUUUCCAUUACCAAGUGUCCACUCAAGGCAACCCUCAAAAUUACUUCCACACUGCUCCAUCUUCCAAAUCCCCUUCAGAUUUCUCCACCAUAGAGACUCAUAAUAAGAACUCUUAUUCUCUUUCAGACUCCUUCAAUCGCCGUAUUUGAUUCAAUAACCUCUUUCCAAAGCCUCCUAUGUCAGAACCCAAACGCCAAAUCCAUUUCCCCAACAACACCACAUUGAAUAACUGUAGAUCCAAAAUACUAAGACCACCAGCUUCCCGAGGCUCAUAGACCUUUUUCCAAGAAACCUAAGCAAUCAAUCUUCUUCUCAGCCGAACCUCAACCCCACAGAAAAUUCAUCUGUAAUUUCACAAUUUCCUUCAACAUCGAAGAAGACAACUUAAACAAAGAAACGUAAAACAAUGGAAUGAAAGAAAGAACAGACUUAAUCAAACAAAUUCUCCCUGCCAGAGACAGGAAUCUACCUUUCCAGAUACCCAACCUGCUUUUAAUCCUUUCUAACACGCCGACCUAAAAACACACUUCUCUUAUGACAACCCCCCAUGAGCAACUCCAAAUACUUAAAAGGAGUAUUCAUCACGUCACAAUUGAGUAACACAACAAAACGUUGGAUCUCAAACAUAUCCACUCCCAACCCACCAAUCCUACUUUUCAAGAAGUUAACCUUAAAGCCAGAUGCUAAAUCAAAGCAAUUCAACAUUACUUUAAUAGUGAACACGCUUUUAGUAUUGGCUUCACAAAACAACAAAGAGUCAUCACUAAAUUGAAGCAUAUUUACAUUUACCUUCUUAAUCUCAAUCUCCAAACUUUCAACCAAGUUCAACUCGACUGCUUCCUUUGACACCCCUGCCAAACUUUCAACCACAAUAAGAAAAAAAAAGCGCAAGAGGAUCACCUUCACAAAGACCCUUCUGUGGAUGGAAUUCCUUAGUUGGACUUCCAUUUAUUGACAUCGAAGGAGAAGAAGAUUCCAACCAGGCUUUCAUCCAUAUAAUCCAUUUUUCACAAAAAUCCAACCUACCUAACAUGUAAAAGAUAAACUCCUAACUAACAAAGUCAUACACUUUUAUGUGUUUAUUAUUUUUAAUUUUUAUAAAUGUAUUUACAUAAGAAAGUGUUUAUUUUUUUUAUUUUUGUAAAUGUAUUUACAUUUUCUUUUAUUAUUAUGUGUUUACUGUUUGUACAUUUUUUUGUAUUAUUUAUUUACUGUUUUUACAUUUUUUGUAUUAUUUAUUUACUGUUUUUACAUUUUUCAUUAUUGAACAUAAUUUUUAAAAUAUAUAAAUUAUUCAAAAUAUUAAUAAUAUUAAUUAUUUUAUUACUAUUAUAAUUAUUAAUAUAAUUAUAUAUAUACAAUAUACAAUAUAUAAUUUAAAUAUUAGAUAAAUUUAUUUAAUAAUUUAAAAAUAUUUAAUGAUUUUAUUAAUAACAACAUAUAAUUAUAAAUAAAUAAAAAAUAUAAUAUCAACAAAACAUAUAUAAUUAUAUAAAAUAAAAAAAUGUAUAUAAUAAUAAAUAUUAUUUUCAUAAAUUUUAAUAUAUUUAAUAAAUUUAAAUUUAACACAAAAUUGUUUUAUUACAAAAUAACAAUAAUUAUGAAUAUUAUAUAUUAGAAAAAAUAAUUAACUCAAAUCUAAAAAAAAACUAUACCAUAAUCUAUUAUUAAAAAAAAAUUAAUAACAAGGAUAAAUUUGUAAAUUUACAUUUUAUUUCUUUAAAAUAACUUCUAAAUUAUCUCAUAAGUAUGGCAUCAUUCAGAAAUUUCAAUAAAUCAUUCUCACAAAUUAAGUUAUAUAUCACUUCUCAAUCCAAACAACCUCACACAUCCUUUUUAAUCAUCUUUAAUUCAAUCCCUCCCCUACCCUCUCCACAAAUCCCCACCUCAAUUCAACAACAUUUUUUUUCUUUCAUCCUUAUUAAUCUGGUCAAGAAUGUUGUGUUUGAAUUUUAUUUCAUCGUUAUUAAUUUUCUUCAUUUUUUAUGUUUUUUUCUCAUUCUUUCUUAUCACUUACGUAUACUUAGUGACAUAAUCAACCUAGGCAAAUUCUUCCUGCACCAUAUCAAUUUUAACCUCCACCAUAUCAAUUUUUUAAAUUUCCAAAACUAUCCUCCUGCACCAUAUCAAUUUUAACUUCCACCACAUCAAUUUUUUAAAUUUCCAAAACUAUCCUCCUGCACCAUAUCAAUUUUAACCUCCACCAUAUCAAUUUUUUAAAUUUCCAAAACUAUCCUCCUGCACCAUAUCAAUUUUAACUUCCACCACAUCAAUUUUUUAAAUUUCCAAAACUACCCUCCUGCACCAUAUAAAUUUUAACCUUCACCAUAUCAAUUUUUUAAAUUUCCAAAACUACCCUUAUUCCAAAUUAAAAAAUCCAAAAUAAUAAUUAUAAUUGAGAAAUAGAAAAAUACAUGGUGGAAAAAAAUUAUGAACACAAAACUAAGAAUACAUUCUCGAUAAAAAAUUUCAGAAUUCAAAAAUAUGUUCCAAAAAUUGAAAUCCAAAAUAUUUCAAAUAAAAGUUUCAAAAAUAAUUUUUCUAUUUUUGUGUAAGGUUAUUUUCAUUAUUUAGAAGGGAUAUUUUUGUCUUUUAGAGUGAUUGGAUGCAUAUGGUGGAGUGAGAAAUAUAAUGUCAUAACGAUGAUUGGUGACGUUAUUACCUGGAGUGACUGAAAAUACCAAAUGUGUACGUGGUUGAAGUGUAGAUCACAAAACCAAUAUCCUCUUAGGUCAAGUCUUUUCCGCGUUUUCUUCUUUUCCACGUCAAAAAUCAUAAUUUUGAGAAAAUUAUAUAUUUAUCUCCAAUACUAAAUUAUAAGAUUGAAAAAUUAAUUUUUUUUUGAAAGCUUAAUAAACUACUAGAAAAAUCUUUCAAAAUGUUUAAAAUAUACGAACUAAAUCCGUAUAAGUAAAUAUUUUAAAUUAUUUAAAGUAUAUGAUUAAAUUGUUUAAAUCGUUUAGAAUUAUUUUAGUUAAAGAUGCGUAAUUGAUGUUCUUUAUUUUUUUGUCAUAAUUUUAUUUAUAUUUAAUUUCUCAUUCAUGCAUAUAUUAAGCAAACUUUAAAUUAAUUAUUUAUGGAGAAUAAUGGCGGCUUCAAUGUCGUGGUCAAUUCUAAUGUGGAUUACGUUGAUUUUGGCUUAAUCCAAGUCCCACAUCAGUGGGUUUAUAGUUUGAGAAAAAGGUUUGAGGGUUAUAAAUUAAACUCUCCUUCUUUACUGUUAUAUAUCUUAAUUUGUAAUAUUUUCUUCCAUAAUAAUAAAAGUGAGCUGUUUUUGCUCGGAGAUUAGGCUAAAUUGGCCGAACUCCGUUAACCAUUUUUUGGUGUGUUUAAUUGGCGGUGGAAAUAUUUGAUGACAGAGGACAUUUUGGCAUGUGACAAGGAGAGAUCUUGAACUCUUUUUUUCAGCAAGCCUUGUACAAAUUUUGUUCAGCAGCACCCUCGAGACUAUGACCAUUACAUUGGGAAACGUCUUUGCCUUCCAAAGUUACUUGAAAACUUCAAUUUGAGGACCCCUACCAGUCUUAACUAGACACUCGCAGAACUCAAUGUAAAGCAGCCAGUAGAUGUACAACAAAAAUGUUGAGAGACUCAAAUUUCCAGGUUCAUGGUAUUCCAAUAGACGGACCAAAAGUGUAGAUGACAAAACCAAUAACCUCUUAAGUCAAGUCUUCUCCGCGUUUUCUUCUUUUCUACGUCCAGUGUUAAAAAUUUAGAUUAUUGUUUCAAAUUUACAAAAGCAUAAUUUUGAGAAUUAUAGGAAAAAAUUAUAUAUUUAUCUCCAUUAUUAAAUUAUAAGAUUGAAAAUUUAAGAAAUUGUUUGAAAUCUUAAUAAACUACUAGAAAAAUAUUUAAAACUGUUUAAAAUAUACGGACUAAAUCUGUAUAAGUAAAUAUUUUAAAGAGUAUAUGAUUAAAUUGUUUAAAUCGUUUAGAAUUAUUUUAGUUAAAUACGCAAUUGAUGUUGUUAUAAUUUUAUUUAUAUUUAAUUUCAAUUUCAUGCAUAUAUUGAGCAAACAUUAAAUUAAUUAUAUUAAAUUUUGAAUAUCCGACUGAACUGUUAGAAAAAAUUAUUUUUCAUUUGUUAAAAUGCACACAUUAAAUCUAACUUUAGUUUUGAUGAAAAAAAAAACUUAAACCAUUUAUUUUAUUCUUUCUAUAUGCAUUUUUUAUCAGUAAAUAAAUUUCUAUAUAUAAAAAAAUAGUGGAAAGAGGUACUCAAAUCCUUAUAUAUAAAUUAACAAAAACAAGAUUAAUCCUGUGUUGUAGUGGGAGAUUCGUACAAAACUUGGUAGGGAUGCAGCAGCAAAAUAUAAGAGUUAGGGUGGAUGGGUUAGAUGCAUUUGCUUUUAUUGUGCAAUUUCAAAUUUCAGCUAGUAAAAAUGCAGUUAUUCUAACAUUCUACACUCUCAAUUGAUUGAUCUUUUGUGCUAUGUCUGGGUCAGACACUAAUAUAAGGAGUUAGAAAUAUUUUUUUAUUUAAUUUAUUUAUUGUCGAUAAAAAAAAUUAAUCUGUGUUAGGUAUUCCAGCUACGAAUAAUUCAACCUUAUUCCUCUCUCCAUGCAGACCACCCAUGUGAUACAAUCAAAAUUCUCUUAACCCAUACAAACAACACAUCAUCCCAUACUUUGGCAUUUAUCAGAAAACCUCCAGCUAUCAUGGAUGGUAGCUACUUUCUUCUGCAUACUUUUAGCUGAUAGAAAAAAAAAACUUUCUUCUGCAGACUCCAAUAUUGUCUCAAUGUGCAUACAAAUUAAUUGUGGUAGGGCAUUUUUUAUUGUUGUGUUGUGAGUUAUAUGUGACCACUUAAUGCUGCCAAGUUCUUGACUUAGUCAUUUGAUAGAUACCACACUUGCAAUUGGGAUUAGUAUUGGUAAACUUGAAUAAUUUGGUUUAUAUAUGGCUCUACAAAUUGCCAUAUACAGCACAUAAAUAAAGACAGUUUGGUUCCACAAAACACCUUCCUCUCCAACUCUCCAAUGGCAAAUCAAGUCUUCCUACUGUGCUCCUCACUCUGUCACUCUACAGAUUAAUACUGAGGAAGGAGCCACUUACAAUGAAAAGGAUGAUCGUCUCUUUUAUACUGACAAUAGUUUUUUCACAAUUCACAACCGUCGUGUCUUAUAUGAUGAUGAAGAAAACCCCAUCGUCACUCUAUACAGUAAGGUGGUUCCUCAUGCAUCAACUAUACCCAUUCUCCAAUUAAUUAGCUUUAUUACUUUAAUAUUCGCCAACCUACAAAAAUAAUCUCUGCUUAAAUUUUUCAUUCUAGCCACUUACCUAACCAGGAUGUUAUUAUUCUUAAUUUUUAUGCAGACUGUGUCGUUGCAUGGGAAAUGCAAAGUUUUCAGGGGUGCAAGCACUCAUUCAUCUGAAUUGCUAUUUUCGGUGGAGAAAAUCAAGAAAUCACCUGGGAUUACUAAAUUAAACGUGUUCCUCGCCGCAAACAACCAAGAAAA
rnacentral:lncRNA from 1 species